rnacentral:lncRNA from 1 species
AAAAAAAAAAAAAAAAAAAAAAAAAAAAAAACCCCAAAGACAAUUUGCUUAAAGAUCAAUACCUUUGGUUGUAUAGGAGCUCCAUUUGCGAUCUGUUUGGGAGAAUGAGAUUUUGGCAUCGACUCAAUUGGAGAAUAAGCCCGGAGAGAAGGAAGAGAUGGAAGUUUAGCAGAAGGCCUAGAUGGGUUCUCAUGUUUGCAGGAGACUGAGUUGACUCGCCUGGACUCAAGGCGUGGAAAAGGGAGGAAGCCGAGUUUAGGGGAGUCGAUUCGCCCGAGUCUAGGAAGAAAGGGACAGGGUUUGAGGUUGAGUUUGAUAGAAGUUGGAGAAGAAGAGUAUAGAAGCCUCUCCAUGGCCUCUCUCUCUCUCCUCUUUGUCACUCUCUGUUUGUGCUUUUUGUGGAGAGGUUUUACAGGGAAAGACUUUGAGGGAGACAAAGAAGGUGGGUUGGUGAGGAUAGCGUUUUGGCUGAGAGGGUUAACGGAAAAUUGAAAAUUCGGAUAUUUUCAAAAUAAAGUAAUACUGUUAAACAGUUUUUUUCUCUUUCUGUGUUUGAAGAAUACUAAAAGCUCUAAUAAUUGAUUUUAAUUUUUUAAUUUUAAUGUUUAACCAUGAUUUUUUUUAAAUUUUUAAUAUUAAAUAUAAAUAUGACUAGUAAUUAUCAUAAUAAAUGAGUUUAAAUAUUAGUAAUUUAAUAUUAUAGUUUAAAUGCACUUUUUUUAUCUAUUUUAAUGUUUCCUCUUUGUUUCAGUUUUUAUAUAUAUUAGUGCUUUUAUAACACAUAUUGCAAGUUGUCGUUAUUUGUUUUUUACUCAUUAUGCUCGUUCAUUAUUAUUUGUUAUAAUAUUAAGAUUUGUUAUAAUUUUUUUCAUAUUUUUUUAGAUUUUUAUAUAACGUAAAUAAAAUGACUAAAUAAUCAUAUUUUAUAUAUAUGUACUUUAAUUCAAUUUAUAAAUCUAACAUGUAUCUACAUUGCACUUUAACAGCACAUAGUACCACAAUGCUACUCAAUAAGUACGUUGUAAUGUAUAUACGUGUACGUAUACAAAUUUCUCCAUAUAUUUAAGAAUUAAUAACAUAUUCAUUUUUUAUCUAGCCAAACAAUUUUAAAAGGCAAUAUAUAUAUAUAUAUAUAUAUAUAUAUANNNNNNNNNNNNNNNNNNNNNNNNNNNNNNNNNNNNNNNNNNNNNNNNNNNNNNNNNNNNNAUAUAUAUAUAUAUAUUAUUUCUCUCCUAAUUAAAAACCUUUAAAUUAUAAUCAAAUAUUAAUUAUAUAUUUUAACUGGUAUUUAAAUUAAAAUUUUUAAUUAAAUAUUUUAAAUUACAAUCAAAUAUUAUAUAUGAAUUUUUAUUUAUUUGAUUUUUUAAUUUUUUUCUUAUUUCUCUCCUAAUUAAAAUAUUUUAUUGUAUUAUAUAUAUUGUUAUAUUAAAAUUUUUGUUCACCAUAUCAAAUAUUUUUAAAAUAUAAUUAUUAUAUAUUUGUUAAAAUUUAUGUACUCAUCACGCUCUAGUAUCUUUUAAAUUAUAAUCAAAUAUUAUAAUUAAAUAAUAUAUAUUUUUAAAUUAGAUAUUUCUAAUUACUAUUUAAAAUAUCUUAAAUGACGAUGAAAUAUUAAAUUUAAACUUUUAUUAUUUUUUCUUUUUCCUUAUUGUUCUCCUGAUUAAAACCUUUUAAUUAAAUUACAAUUAAAUCAAAAAAAUUUUUAUAUUUUUUAAGUUAAAAAUUUUUUAAGUUAAAUUUUUAAUCAUGAAAUACUAUUAUGUAUGUUAGUGCAAAUUUCAAUAUUUUAAGAAAUCUCAUUAUGUUUCACUUUUUUUAUAUAUUUAUAUACAGUAUUUAUAGAGAAAUUAUUAUUAUUAUUAUUACUCCAUUAUUUAUGGCUUUGAUGCUUAUUAGUUAUGAUAGUUGCGUGGCCCAUUAAAUUAUCGUUGACUAUACUAAAAUAAAGUAGCGGUUUCUGUUUGGCCACAACAAACCCUUAUAAUAAUCAGGUCCCUCCCGAUGGUUUAUGGUUUAUAUAUUUUGUCAUGUAAAUAUAUACAAAUGUAAAGCUAUCUUAUUUAGGGUCUAUCCACGGCACUAGUUGUUAUAGAAGUUGUUAGUUGUUUUAGGAGCCGUUAACCAUUAGUUAUUUAUAUAGUAGUUAAAAUAAAAGUGUUUGCUAAAAAAAUAACUGUUUGAUUAGCUGUUAUAAAUCAAAUGACAAAAAAUGACAUUGAAAUGUUGACUUUAAAAAUUGAUAUAUAUAUAUAUAUAUAUAGAGUAGCAAGUGUUUUUUUUCUUUUCUAAAUUAUUAUCAUUUUUUUUUUUAUAGCAAAAGAUUAUUUCUUAUAGAAUUGAAAUGAAAAAACUAAAAAAUUAUUUCUUGUAAUUUUUAUUUUAAGGUAAUAAGAAAUAACAAAAUAGAAUAAUUAAAAAUGACAUGUGAAACGCUAAAUGUUUGGAGAUUUAACAUUUAAUGAAACGAUGCCUAAUUUCUAAAUGUUAAUAUAAAUAUUAUAUUACCGAAAGAUGUAAUUAAUAGAAUAAUGUUGUUGUCAAGUAAAUCCUUAUUCCGUUUGGCUGAUAUGAUUUUUUUUUUUUUUUUUUUUUACUUCAAAAAAUAUUUUGAAGCUUUCCCAUUUUCAUGUUGAGUUGAAGCUUUCAUUCCACGAAAGAAUCAAAGUUCAGAAAUAUAAGUUUUUAGUUUAUCCCUUAAAAACUCCAUUUUUUAAAGUUAAAUAAUAGUUUAUUAAAUUUUUAUACGGAAAAGAGAAAGUUAAAACAAUGAAAUUAGGCUUCAAAAAUAAAAAAUUUUUUAAUUUUUUAAAAUUUUUCGAAACAUAUCACAAUCAGUUCAAUUUAAAUAAUUCGAAAUUGAUUGCUAAAUCAGACGUAUGGACUGCUGAAUUGAUUUAAAAUCAUAAAAUUCAUAAUUCCUAUUGACAUUUAUAAUCAAUAAUACCAUUUAGAGGGAGACCUUCAAAUUGCAUAAUUAAUUUAUUUUUUUUUUAUUUAUUGAAAGGCUUAACGGGUCAAGUUAAUACUGUGAGCUACACAAUAUAAAUAACAUUCCUCUGAAUUAACCAAAUUGGUAAAAACACUUAUAAUCGGGAGAACUCGAACUCGAAACCUCUCACUUCGUAUAAAUGAGAAGAUCAAUAAUACCACACUCCUAAUCGGUAUUAAUUUUUUUUAACAGCAUAAUUAAUUUCUUAUAAAAUGAGAGAGAUAUAAUAAAUAAGCUCUAAAUUAAUAAUUGAUACAAUGAGCCCAAAAGCGAAUUUGUCGAGGUGGCUAAUAGGAUAACAGAUAGAUUCAAUUACUUGGAGGUUUCCAAUUGUGAGAACAAAAGCUUUGAAUAUAUCAAACAGGAUAACUUAUCCGGUAGCCAUUUUUUUCAAAAAAAAAAAAAAAAAAGUGCAUAAAUUAAAAAGUCCACAUAUUAACACGUCAAACUUUGCGGUUGCGCUCACGCUAACACGCAUUCUCAAGGCGCCUCCUUGCGCUCGGCACACGCACCCAAUAGAUACUCCGCACGUUCAAUUUAAGAAGGCAGUGGACAGUUGUCCAUAUUAAUUCAAUUUUAAGAGCGAACACACUUGUCUACACCAGCUGUAUUAGCACAUCAAUACAAGAAAUAAAUAAUUAGUUGCGAUUUGAAAAAAUUAUUUUAACUAUUUUGCAGAACCGCAUAACACCGGUUCAAAUCAAAUCAAACCGAUGUUAAAUUGUGAUUUUAAAAGUUAGUGAUUUGAUUUGUAAAAUUUAAAGAUUUAGGUUUUAGUUAAAUUUAUGGUUUUAUAUUUAAAAUUGUGCAAAUCGCACCAAAAUGUUUUAUAUCUAUAAAAACUUUUAAAUGCUAAAUAAUUUAGUUUAAUUUUUAAUGAAAAAUUUCUCUGCAUUGCUUAGUUUGUAUUGCAUAAUAAUUAUAUAUAAUUUCAUAUCAUUUAAAUAAGUUAUAUAAUUAUAUUAUUUGUAAGUUCAAAUGUCAAAUAUUUUAAAAUGAUGACUAUUCACUGCUUAGUUUUUUUUUUUAAUAUUUAAAAAAAACUAAAAUAGAUACACUCAUUAUCUACUUUUCUUUUUCACUUGUUUCAAAUUAUAAUAUUUUUCAAAAAAAUAAUAAUUUUUGUAGUUUAUUAUUUUAUCUCUAUUUAAUGUGUAUUUCUUCCAACAAAUAUGCCACUAUUAUAAUUAGCUAAAUCUUGAAAUAAACAAAACAAGGUCACUAUUAUUGUCACAUAUAUUAACCAACCUAUUUUUAAUUACAUUUAUUCUUGUAUUAAAAACUUACUGGUAUUAGAACCCGCGCGAUGUAUGAAACAAUAUUAAAUAAUGAAAUAACAUCAUUCAAAAAUGAUCGUAAUCAAAAUUAUAUCUCAUUAAGAUAUGCAGAAAAUGUUGGAAUGCUAAGAUGUGUCUUUUUAAGUAUCCUCUAAAGCAUUUCACUAUGAUAUGUAAAAGUAAAAGUUAUACAUGGUAUAACCUGUAUAAAAAAAUAUACACACUAUUAAUUUAUUUUUAAAUAGUAAUAGUGAUUUUGGGAAUUUAACUAAUUAUAUUGAAAUAACAAAUUAAUUAUUUUUUAUAUUAUGUUUAUAAUUUAUUGUAAAUGAUUAUUUAUUUAUUUAAAAUAUUAAUGUAUUAGACUUAUUUAGUGUAAUGUGUCAUGCGCGUGUGGAUGUCAUACUUUUUUAAAAAUAAUCGUAUCUCGUACGUUCCUGCAUCUCGUAUCCUGUGUUCCGUGUCUGUACAACUUAACUCUUGGUAUAUGAGACUACUAUAUACACUAAGUCAAUCAACUAAGGUUAUUUUUUAUUAGCAAGAAAAAAUAAAGUUUUUUUUAAUUCAUUUUUGUGUCCUUUUUUUUUUAUUAAUGAAUGAUCACAAACACUGUUGUUACAACUAAAAAUAUAUUUCGAUAGUCUUGGUAAGUCAUUAGUUUUUGUCAAACUCUAUAAUUAUUUCCAUCAAAGAGAGAUAUUUUAAUGAAAACUGAUAAAUAAAUUGAAAUGAGAGGAUGUUAGCUUUAGGCUCCAUAUUGAUAAGAUUGGCCGAUAAUUUAACUAAUUAUAUUGAAAGAAAAAUUAAGUAUUUUUUUUAAAUUUGUUUUAUCUUUUUUUUUUUAAAAAAAAUAGUUCAACAACUUAAUUUAGAAUUAUAAUAUUUGUCAUUUUAUAAUUCAAAAUACUGCUAAGUGGUAAAUUGUACUAUUUACAUUUGGUUUUCAUAUAAAGAAAACUACUCUCCUUUUAUAUAUUAUAUAAAUAAAUUAGGUCUGGCCAAUACUUGAUAUUUUUCAAAACUAAAUUAAGAAAAAAUAAGAAGAAACUAAAAUUUAUUUCAAAAAAAACUUAUAUUACUUAAUUUUUUAUAUAAAAGAAAAUAAAAUUAAUUUUUCUCUACAAAUUUAUUUAUAGUUUUUUUAUUUUCUUUCUAAUUUGAAGAGAAAAUUAUCGAAAUUCUUUUUCCUUAUAUUCAUUUCUUAUUUUCAAAUUAAAUAAUUUUUGCUUAUUAAUAUUAGUUUAGCUUUCUUUUCUCUUCAAUAUUAUUUGAAAAUAUAAAACAAUUUAUUUCCUUACAAUAGUUUUCAUUAGAACUAAACUCUUUAUAAUUGUGCUAAAUAACUUUACAUUUGGCAAUUGGCAAUUUGAGAUUGACACUUGUCUGUCGUUUAAAAUAUACUGCGUUAAUUAGUGUUGUGAUCUAUCUUUUAGGGCCAGAUUGAUAUUAAGAUUUGGUAAGUUUAAAGCGAUGGAAGUCCAUAAUAAGUCUAACCUAGUAACCUACUAAACAAAUAAUAGCAAAAUCCAUAUAUCAUUUGGGCCUUAGGCCCACUAUCCAAGCAGUCUCUAUGACAGAUUGCCAUCGAUAAAUAUAUAUCCAUAGUUGUGAUACUCAGCUCGAAUCAAUUUACAUAACCAAUAAGAUACUUAUUUCACAGUGAAAAUUUUAAUGGAGGCUCAACAUCCUUUAUUCGUUCAGUAAUAUUACAAAUACUCACAUCACACUAAUUACUUUUAACUAAUACAAUCGCUUCUCUUCUUUUUUUUUUUUUUUUAUUCAUACAUUUCAAUUUAAACUACACUUUCGCCGUUAAACUACAUCUAUGGCUUUAUUUGCUUCCAUAAAAUAACUUAUCAUUAUUAUUAAUAUUUUUUAUAGUCUUAUGAGACAAAGACUUUAAUAUUUUUAACUAUAUUAUAACUAAACAACGAAAAAUAAAUCACUUGGAAAAUAUUUGUCACUUGAAUUGGAAAAUAUAUUGUUUAGCAAGUUAUUUUACGGAUCAUCUAUUAAAAUGAUGUAGCAUGAUUACUCAUGGACCCUAGCAUGUUACUUACCAAUUGAAAUCCAAGAUGAGCCUUGAUUCAAAUCUCUGCUACUGUUAGAACAGGUAGAUUAAAAGCGAUGUGAAGAUCUUCUGCUUCACGUCCUGUGACUUUUAAAUACCAGAGUUUUGGGGACUGGCUUUGAGCGAGUGUGAGCCAAUGCAAAUGUCUAACCUUGAUAGGAAUUUUGAGACCUUAUAAGCCCCAGCUCUCUCCGAACCCUGACAAGCAAAGAGAAAGAUAUGUAGAGAGUGAGUUUCGAGGAUGAGUUCACUCGAAUGUGGUUAAGUCGAAAUUCAAACUAUUUGGAGGGUGUGAUCAAAAGGAGAGAGAAAGAAGACAACAACAAAGAGGAGGAUGAUCGAAGUAAAGAGGAGGCAACGACGGAGGAAGAUGAGGAAUGGAUGUUGAGGUGGCUGUAGUAGGGCAAAAUGAUGACAUUUGGGGAAAAGAGUGAGUUUUGAGCCCUUGGUGUGUUUUAAUAUUCAAGUUAAACUAAGGAUAGUCAUAGUAUAUGAAUUCUACUUUUACAAUAUUUUAUUUAAAACUCUAAGUUAAAUUUAAAAUUAAAGAAAAAAUAUACCUAAUUUUAUAAAUUGGAAUUAACUAAAGUAUAAAGAACAAAUAGGUCGAUUUGAAGCCUCAUUUCCAAUAUAUAUAUAUAUAUAUUUUUAUAACAUAGUUGUAAUGCUUUAAAAUAUAAUUUUUUUGAUAUUGCUGCACAAAUUUAUUUAUUGUUCUUAUUAAUUUAUAUUUGUUUCCCUCCAAAUUUUGAAAUCUAUUUCUACUUCCUAGGCAUGGUGGUUCAGGUUCGAGAUAUUUAAAAUUUUGAACUGGAAUCGACCCUUGAACUUUUGGUUCCGACACAGUUCAGGCGAACCGACAGUUUGAAUUACGGUUCCGAUUCGAUUCCGGCAUUACGCAAAUUUUUAAAAAAAUAAUAAAAUUUUGAUUUCGAAUUCAUAAUAAAUAAUAAUUUUAAAAUGUUUCAAUUUUAUUAACUAAAUAAAUUAUUAUAAAAUUUUAAAAGAAAAACUUCUAUUAACUAACUUAGAACUAUUAUUACAUUAAAUUUACAAAUUUUGCUAAUUCACUAAUAUAGAAAACCAUAAAUGGAAUGAGUUGGAAAUUAUUAUUUUCAAAUACUAAGAAAAUUAUUAAAAAAAUUAAAUGAAGUAAAUUUAUGAAUGGAAAAAAUUGAGAUUAAAGAAAGAAUUUGGAAUUGGAUGUAAGAAAAUAAAAAAUAAAUAAUAGAUAAUUCCAAUAUUAAGGAAAAUAAAGCAAUAGAAAAAAUAAUGAACUAUGGAAAUUUGAGAGAAUUUUGAUUGAGAAUAAGAGAAGAGUUGAGAUAUAAUUGGUUGUGAAAUAAAAAGUCAUCAACUCAUCAUAUUUAUACAUGUUUCUCAUUUAUUAGUUUCCCAAAUUGUCCCUUAUAACAGAAAAAUAACAGCUAUAUUUUUGGAUAAUUUAGUAAAUUACAGUAAAUAAAUAAAUAAAUNNNNNNNNNNNNNNNNNNNNNNNNNNNNNNNNNNNNNNNNNNNNNNNNNNNNNNNNNNNNNNNNNNNNNNNNNNNNNNNNNNNNNNNNNNNNNNNNNNNNNNNNNNNNNNNNNNNNNNNNNNNNNNNNNNNNNNNNNNNNNNNNNNNNNNNNNNNNNNNNNNNNNNNNNNNNNNNNNNNNNNNNNNNNNNNNNNNNNNNNNNNNNNNNNNNNNNNNNNNNNNNNNNNNNNNNNNNNNNNNNNNNNNNNNNNNNNNNNNNNNNNNNNNNNNNNNNNNNNNNNNNNNNNNNNNNNNNNNNNNNNNNNNNNNNNNNNNNNNNNNNNNNNNNNNNNNNNNNNNNNNNNNNNNNNNNNNNNNNNNNNNNNNNNNNNNNNNNNNNNNNNNNNNNNNNNNNNNNNNNNNNNNNNNNNNNNNNNNNNNNNNNNNNNNNNNNNNNNNNNNNNNNNNNNNNNNNNNNNNNNNNNNNNNNNNNNNNNNNNNNNNNNNNNNNNNNNNNNNNNNNNNNNNNNNNNNNNNNNNNNNNNNNNNNNNNNNNNNNNNNNNNNNNNNNNNNNNNNNNNNNNNNNNNNNNNNNNNNNNNNNNNNNNNNNNNNNNNNNNNNNNNNNNNNNNNNNNNNNNNNNNNNNNNNNNNNNNNNNNNNNNNNNNNNNNNNNNNNNNNNNNNNNNNNNNNNNNNNNNNNNNNNNNNNNNNNNNNNNNNNNNNNNNNNNNNNNNNNNNNNNNNNNNNNNNNNNNNNNNNNNNNNNNNNNNNNNNNNNNNNNNNNNNNNNNNNNNNNNNNNNNNNNNNNNNNNNNNNNNNNNNNNNNNNNNNNNNNNNNNNNNNNNNNNNNNNNNNNNNNNNNNNNNNNNNNNNNNNNNNNNNNNNNNNNNNNNNNNNNNNNNNNNNNNNNNNNNNNNNNNNNNNNNNNNNNNNNNNNNNNNNNNNNNNNNNNNNNNNNNNNNNNNNNNNNNNNNNNNNNNNNNNNNNNNNNNNNNNNNNNNNNNNNNNNNNNNNNNNNNNNNNNNNNNNNNNNNNNNNNNNNNNNNNNNNNNNNNNNNNNNNNNNNNNNNNNNNNNNNNNNNNNNNNNNNNNNNNNNNNNNNNNNNNNNNNNNNNNNNNNNNNNNNNNNNNNNNNNNNNNNNNNNNNNNNNNNNNNNNNNNNNNNNNNNNNNNNNNNNNNNNNNNNNNNNNNNNNNNNNNNNNNNNNNNNNNNNNNNNNNNNNNNNNNNNNNNNNNNNNNNNNNNNNNNNNNNNNNNNNNNNNNNNNNNNNNNNNNNNNNNNNNNNNNNNNNNNNNNNNNNNNNNNNNNNNNNNNNNNNNNNNNNNNNNNNNNNNNNNNNNAAAAAACUAUAAAUGGAAUAUAAAAUUAAUGGAAUGAGUUGGAAAUUAUUAUUUUCAAAUACUAAGAAAAUUAUUUAAAAAAUCAAAUGAAGUAAAUUUAUGAAUGGAAAAAAUUGAGAUUAGAGAAAGAAUUUGGAAUUGGAUGUAAGAAAAUAAAAAAUAAACAAUAGAUAAUUCCAAUAUUAAGGAAAAUAAAGCAAUAGAAAAAAUAAUGAACUAUGGAAAUUUGAGAGAAUUUUGAUUGAGAAUAAGAGAAGAGUUGAGAUAUAAUUGGUUGUGAAAUAAAAAGUCAUCAACUCAUCAUAUUUAUACAUGUUUCUCAUUUAUUAGUUUCCCAAAUUGUCCCUUAUAACAGAAAAAUAACAGCUAUAUUUUUGGAUAAUUUAGUAAAUUACAGUAAAUAAAUAAAUAAAUGAUUAAAAAAUAAAUAAAAUUUAUUUACCAAAAAAUAAAUAAAAACCACCUAUCAUAUAAAAAAUUAUCCGUUACACUCUUUUUUUUUUACAGUUGAAAGUAUUUUUUUUUCACCACUUUUUAUAACUUAUAUAUCAUUUUACUUCUUUUCACUAUAAAUCAAAUCAAGUGAUAUAAAUUUUUUUAUAAAAAUUUUAAGCUACAAUUUUUUGUGCAUCCGGUUCGAACGGGACCGGAACCGCCGGUUCCGGUUCAUAUUUUAACAUUGACAUGAAUCUUAACCGGCCCUUGAACCGUCGGUUUCUGUUCGAUUUCAAUUCGUCAACAGUACGGUUCGAUUCCGAUUAGAAUCGAACCGGUGGCAUGCCUACUACUUCCGAUCUAAGAUUAUUUAUUUAGUUUUAGAUGUAGCGUAUUUUUAAUUUUUUAUUACAGGUUCUUGUAAUAUACCUUGGAAAAAAAAAAAAGAACUUAAAAAACUAGUGCGUCUGACGCCGUAUUCUCUGUUUGGUCACUGAGUUGUCAAUUUGUUGAGGCAUGGUAAACCUGGCAUUAUAUAAACCAUAAAGGACCAAUAAGUAAUUCCGUACCAUCGCAAUCCAAAACCAAAAGGGGAAGGGUCUUCACGGAACCCCUAUAAAUAUCACAAUUUCCUCAAUUUCUCUCAUUUUUUCCGGUUUCACCUUUGUCCUUCCUCUUUCCCGCUCUCUCAAGGGUUAGGGUUUCUCUUUUUCCAAAAUUUCAAUCACAGUAACAAUGUCGACAUCCAAGAAAGUCACUCUCAAAUCGUCCGACGGCGAGACUUUUGAGGUGGAGGAAGCGGUGGCGGUAGAGUCGCAGACUAUAAAACACAUGAUCGAGGAUGACUGCGCCGACACUGAGAUACCGUUGCCUAACGUGACCAGCAAGAUCUUGGCUAAGGUCAUCGAAUACUGCAAGAAGCAUGUCGAGGCCGCCACUGCUGAUAAGGACAAGGAUAAGUCCUCCUCUGAUGAGGCUCUCACGACUUGGGACGCCGAUUUUGUCAAGGUUGACCAGAAUACCCUUUUUGAUCUCAUCCUGGUAAGCUUUUACUUUUCUUUUUAUUUCUUGCCUAGCUUUCACUUUCUUAUUUCUAAUCUUGAAUAAUUUGCUGUCUCUCUUAAUUGUGUGUUAUUUCUUCGAAUGAUACAGUAAGUUUUACUGACGUUGAAUAAUUUUACAAAUUCUCCUCAUAUUGAUUUGUGUUCGUUUUUUGUUUGUUGUGUUGCACUUAUGAGCCUAGAUGUUUGUGAGCACUUAGGUGAAAUUCAGGAUAUUAAUAAUCCGAUUAUGGUUUUUUUUUUUAGAUUAUCAGAAACUGGGUCUUAUUUGCAGUUAGAAUAUAUCUACGGGUAAUGGGUAGAUUAUCCAUACAAUUAGAGACGGGACUCAUUUGCGUUUUAUGUUAUAUGUUCAUUAUAUAAUUGCAAUUUUGUAAACUUUGUAAAUGGUUUGGGAUUCUGAUGAUAUUAAUGUUAUAUAGAAAAUAUAGUUUGGUGGAUUUCUUGUUGAUUGUACCUUUCUAUAUAUUGAUAGCUUCUGCUUUACUGUGUUUUUUAGUAAUAAACUAUGAAACAUGAACCUGAUUUCAAGUCAUGUGCUAGGAAAGGUGAUCUUUAUGUGUGGGGCUUUUACAUGGGUAACUGCCUUCUUUUUGACUUUUCUUUUAUAUGAUUCUGCUUUAUAGCCUUUUCUGUUUAAUUUGCUUUUUUGCUCACCUACUUUUAUCUAUUUGUGCAGAAUAUGUCUUUUACUUUGUGUAUUGUGUGUUAUCUUUCGUCGUCCUCGUUAAAGAUGAGUUGCAAUCACUCAUUUCUAAUUAUUUUUGCAGGCUGCUAACUAUUUGAACAUCAAGAGUUUACUAGAUUUGACUUGCCAGACUGUGGCUGACAUGAUCAAAGGGAAGACUCCGGAGGAGAUUCGCAAGACAUUCAACAUUAAGAAUGAUUUCACCCCAGAGGAAGAAGAGGAGGUUCGAAGGGAGAAUCAGUGGGCAUUUGAAUGAUGAAUGUAAAAUGUCCUUGCAAUGUGCAUAUGAUGGUAUGAUGAUAGGAAUGUCGAUAUACGAUAGGAUGCUGUUUUUGUUCUGUGUCUCUUAAUGUGGAGGAUGAUUGGAAAUUUCCUUUUUAUGGUUGACAGCAUGUUUCUUUGAACACCUUAUUCUAAUGUAAUAGAGUUGAUAUCUAAAUGUGCAUGUCUCAGUUGAUUAUUUUUUUUCGUUGCUUUGCUUUCUUCCUUCAGCUGGUUGCUAUGCAUUAUGAUAAUUGCAAAUUUUGUUCCUGACUGCUAAUUCACAGGAAUGUGAUUGUUCAAUGCAUGGUUUAGCUGAUGAUCAACACUAAGGAUGUAUUGUCUGCUUCUUUAAUUGCUGUCAUUUCUUGCUCGAAUAUGACAGGGUAUAUCAUAUGAAAUAGAUUUUUGAUUAAUCGUGCAAUUUACAUAGGAUAUAAUCAAUUGUAAAAUCAAUAGUUGCUUAUGAAAUAUUUAUUAUUUUUAUUGUAAACAAGGAAAUAUUGAAAGAAUAUCAUUUAUUACUUUUUGAAAUAUACAAAAUGACUUAUAUUUUGAAUCAAAAUAAUAAAUUAAAAAUGAUUUAUAUUUCGGAACAGAGAGAGUAAUCUAUAACUGCCAUCAAUCAAUAUCAACCGUUGAACUAAGUAGACCCAUAGUCUUUAUUGGUUUCAUUCAUUGCUCUUCGCCCCUUCUAGUCUUUAUUUUCUCUUUGGAACCAAUUCAGUUGUUUCCCCUUGUUUUAGGGGGGCCUAUUUUGGUAGAAUUGAGAGAUUCUUAAUAUCUUUUAACCAGUCUAAGGAUUUAUACGAUGAUGGUACAAAAAAAUUGCUUGGAUAUUUCCAUUUGAAGUUUAGAUGUUUUGGUACUAUGAAAGAUUGUUACUCGACUUAUUCCCUCCAUUCCGUUCGAAUUUGAAUGUUCUUAAUUUUUCAUAAGAAUUAAUGUUUAAAUCACCUUAAUUUUAAAAAAAAUAAAAAUAAUUAACUACUUUUUAAUUAAUGCUUAUUUAAUUGAAACAAAAUUUAUUGUAGGAAUUUUUUUUAGAAUAAAAUUUAUUAUAGAUAUUUAGACAAGAAUAAGUUGAAAUAAAAUAAUUAAUGAAAUAAAAUAAUUAAUGCUAUUUUGAUUUUCUAAAAGUGUAAUCUAAUACUACCUUCGUUCCAUAAUACUUGUUACAUUUGUGGUUUCAAGAAAUAAUAAAUAUCUUUCCAUGUUUACCCUUUGUAUAUGGCAAUAAUUAUUAUUUUAAUUUAAUGGUUUUUUUUUGAAAAAAUUAACAUUAAAUUAAGGAUAAUAUAGUCAAUUUACUCAAUAAUUGAUUAUAACUUAGACAAAUUUAAUGUUUUUCUUAAGGAAUGUGAAAUUCCAAAUGUUACAACUUCCUUUGUCCUAUUUAUAUAGAGAAUGUCAAAAUUUCUCUAGAAUUAAUGAGGUGGUCUUUUUGUGAAAUUCUUCCUAAUUUACCCCUAAAAAGAUAUUGAAGUGGUCCCCAAAUUUCAAUAAAAGGUGAUAAAUGAUGAGAGAGAGGAUAUGCUGCUUAAAUAAAGCAUUUUAUUUGUUUAGACUUUCAAUUGCAAAAAAAUGUAGGCCGAUUAAUUGCAAUUGCACACUAAAAUUUCAUUAUUAAAUUUGGCUUGAAAAAAUUAGCGUGGAAGUUGAAAGAAAGUUUGAAGCCAAAAUUUUCUACUUUAAAUUCUUUAUUUUGCUUCUCCAAAUUAACGUAUAAAAAAGUGAAAUUUUAAGUCAAAAGUUUUCAAAACUGAGUGAGUUCACAAUUUUAAAAUUUAAUCCACCAAUAUCAUGGACACAAUCCUUCAUUUUGAUUUGAAUACGGUCCCUCAAUAUUUGCUUGCAACUUCAGAAGAUGUGCCCAUAUUCAACAAUCAACCCUUAGAUUUGAUCUCCUUGUCAUUCACUCAAUAACCGCCUUCUAUAGAAUCUGAAACCACACCACCACCAAGUAACGUUCCAGAAGAGGUUCGAAAAGACAACAAAAGGAAAAACAUCAUUGAAAAUGUGAAAAAUACAGUUUGUAUAUUACUAUUUUCUGAAACUGAAAAGGGCGAGUCAAAUGCUCACAGUAUUCGUAAAGUUGCAGACAUUUUAUCCAUAUCUACUAAGACAAUUUACAGAAUUUGGCAUAACGUAAAAAAUAAUAAUUAUUUUUAUUUAAGCAAUGAAAUUAUGGUUUAGAUUUUGUAUCUCUUUCUUUAGCCAUUUAAGGAGUUCAUGAGAGUAAAUAUAAAUUGCCACAAAUAUUUUUAUUUAAGCACUGUCGUUUGGAGGAAAAUUUUCCUUCAUUCAGGAGCUGUGAGUAAAUUGCACUGUAUGUGCACACUUAAAUGUUAAGCAUAAGCUUCUUAGUGAAAUUUAGUCUGUGUGCAUAAUGUGCUUGAAUCCCAUAUUUUCUUAAUGCACAGUUCAGUCAAUUUUUGAACAUUAAAUGUCAACCACAAUAAUGUCUGCCACUUUCUUAAAAUACUAUUAAAGUAAAUGUUUAAUCUAUAAACUAAAGCAAGAGCAUAUUGGAUUUUUUGCUUUGGCAUUAGUCCCAAAUUACCAUAUUUGGAAAAUUUCUCUAUAUAAAUAGAACGUUCCAAAAGGAAAUUUUCUCUAUAUAAAUAGAAUGGAGGGAGUAUUAUAGAACAGAGGUAGUAAUAGUAAAUCAUAAAUUCUAACAGAUUUUUACUUUUAAAACUUUCAAAAAGAAAAAAAAAACUUUCAUUCAAAUCAAAAUCCUCAUUAUACUAUCUCUGUUCGAUAAUACUUGUCACAUUUAGAAUUUCACUUUUGUUAAAAAAAUAUUAAAUUUUUCCAAGUUACAAUAAAUUAUUGAGUAAAUUGAUUAUAUUACCCCUAAUUUAAUACUAAUUCUCCAAGAAAACCAUUAAAUUGAAAUAAUAGUUAUUGGUUAUAUACAAAGGGUAAACAUGAAAAAAAUAUUUAUUACUCUUUGAAACCACAAAUAUGACAAGUAUCUUGGAACAAAUUAUUUUCUCAAAUGUGACAAGUAUUAUGGAACAGAACAUUUAAUUUUAUGUAUAUGAGAAUCUGUUUCAUUUUUGCAACUAACUUUCAAAUGUUUUUUUACUAUAUAUAUAUAUAUAUAUAUAUAUAUAUAUAUAUAUAUAGAAACACCCCGAAUUUUUAUUUUUGAAACCUUUGAAUUUUUAUUAAAUUAAAAAUCAGAAAUUUUGACUAUGUGGGCUACGAAUAGAAUAUAGUCUCGAUUCGAGCUCAAAUUUGCCAGCUCAGCCCAAGCCCAAAAAUAUAUUAUCGGAAUCUUCGAUACAUUUAAUUUUAUGUAUAUGAGAAUCUGUUUCAUUUUUGCAACUAACUUUCAAAUGUUUUUUUACUAUAUAUAUAUAUAUAUAUAUAUAUAUAUAUAUAUAUAUAUAUAUAUAGACACACCCCGCGUUUUUUUUUAUCCAAAAAUCAAGUAUCAUUAUUAUUAUUGUUUUUAUUGUUAUGGAGUAAAAUGGAGAAAUGUUAUGGAAUCUAACUAAAUUAAUCAAAAUAAAUCGAACCGGGCCCGAAAUUCAAAUUUAUUUUUCGAAAACCACAUGAAUAACCUGAAAACCAAGUAAAAAAAACCUGCGAACCGAGCAAAAUCGAGCCAAAUCUUUGAAUCAGACCAAAUCGGUUCGAAUCGAACCGGAAUGAUCUAGAAAUCGACUUAGUUUCUUCUGUUCUUCCUCUCUUCUUCUUCUUCAGCACGCGCGACAGCCUCCUUCUCCUCCCUUUCCUUCUCAUUUCCGACCCUCGCUCGACGAGAGCGAGGUGGCGAUCGCCUUCCCUGGGGCCUUUAAUCCAUUUUCCCGCCUCCUUCCCCGCUAGCAGAGCCUCCAGUGGCGCGAACGAGACUGUCCCCGUCGACAGUUCUCGUUCUUCGAUCUCUGGCGAUACCAGGCGAUUCUGGCAAUGUGAAGCUUCAAGGUGAGCUCUGAUUGAUUCCUCUGUCUUGUGUGAACAAUUCCCAUCCAAGAAACGACGGUUUUGGUGGAAGGAACUGGAACCGCCAUGAAUAGCGGUAAGGGGCUGCUAUCAAGCUCGUUUCGACCAACUAGAGGGUUGAUCUCACUAAACCAACGCCGGAAAUGGAAUCCUUGCUGAAUUUCAAGUUGAAUGGUAUGAUCGUGGCGAAUUUCUGGGCAUUAUUGAUUUUCUGGCCACUGUAAACGGCGGAGGCGACUGCGUUCCGGUGACCGGCCGGCGAGACUCCGGCGAGGCACCAAGGACAGAAUUUUCCUCUCUUCGCGAGGAUUGUGGAAUCGUCACCCAAAUUUCAAUCGGUACGUUCUAAGACCAAUUUCCUAUUUUUGGUAUAAAUGCUUAAACUUAAUACUUAUUAGUUGAUUAAAUUAAAUUUGAAUGAAUAAUCAAUCAAAUAUAAUUUUUGCUAAGAAUCAAUCGAUAUAAUGUGGAUGCAAAUUAGUUCUGCAUAUUGUUAUAUAUAUUUCAUGAACAUUAGUUACAACUAGAAGGUUCGGUAUUAAGAUAAGAAUUCCUAGCUAAUAUUUAUGUAAGCUAAUUUAGGAAUUUUAAUAAAUAUUGGUAGGGGAGAGUUAUAAUUUAAGGCUUAGACAAGUAAAUAGUUUUAAAGCAAUUAAUAAUAUCAUUGAAUCAUGCUUGGAGGUUAAUAUAGUUUGUUAAUUAGUUAAUUUGGAACNNNNNNNNNNNNNNNNNNNNNNNNNNNNNNNNNNNNNNNNNNNNNNNNNNNNNNNNNNNNNNNNNNNNNNNNNNNNNNNNNNNNNNNNNNNNNNNNNNNUGGGUUGUGUGAAUUGAUUGAUCGAAUAAUUGAUAAAUAAGGUUAUGGCGGACGGGAUGAGUUGAUUUGAAUUGACCGACGGAUGGGCUUAGAUAUUAUAUUGUUGAAUUGUGGUUUAGUCAAAUUUUAGGGGAGGUGCUGCCGAAAUUUCAAUAGAAUCUAGACUAGUUUUAAUUAAUGACAUAAUUAAUAAGUUUAUUUAGAUUAAUUCUAUAACUUAAUACAUAAUAAAUAGAGUGCACUGAUUAUUUAUUAUCUUUAUUAUUCAUUUAAUUAUUUAAUUAUUUAUUUAUUUGCAUUGAUUUUGGAUGUUUAAUUAUGCAUUGCAUUACGAUGUUUAAUUGAUUAAUAUGUCUGCAUUUGAUUGCAAUGUUGGAUUAAUUGUGUUGUGAUAAUGCUAUGCUUUAUUUAUGUGGAAUUGGGAUGAAGUGGGUCACCAUGGGUUUGUGAGACCGUUACUGUUAUAUGGAUCCUGAUUACCGUUACCGUUAUAUACCGUUACUGUUAUAUGGAUCCAUUACCGUUAGCCGGGUAAAUGGCAGAUCGGCGCCCCCGUGUGCACCUACCGUUACCGUUACCGUUAACCAUAGGAUGACUGCUUGUUGUUGCGCACCUGAAAAUCUAGAUUUGAUCGCAGCCCGCAGGGUGGNNNNNNNNNNNNNNNNNNNNNNNNNNNNNNNNNNNNNNNNNNNNNNNNNNNNNNNNNNNNNNNNNNNNNNNNNNNNNNNNNNNNGGCCAGUAUGGGGGAUCGGCUCCCUAGUGCACAUGUGAGUGGAUGAGCCAUGUGGGAGGACGACUCAUCGGGGUUUCGGUGACACCGCUGACUAAUUUCCACGUGAUGUGAUUACAUGAAGAUGUUAACGAUUGUGGGUGCUGAUAAUAUGCAAUUUGUGUGAAUUCAUGUGUUGUGAAAUAGGUAUUCCUUCUUAGAAGGUUCACAUAUCUUGUUUAAUUUUUCAGGAAGUAAGUUUCUCUUCAAUUCGGUUAAGUUAUGUUCCUUUGCGCAGGGCUAGAAGAAAAUUUUUCCAGUUUCAUAAUUAUUUUGCUAUGUAAUUAUAUGUAUAAAAAACUAUGUAUACCAAAUAGUUAGUGACUCCGCAGUUGUAGAAUUUNNNNNNNNNNNNNNNNNNNNNNNNNNNNNNNNNNNNNNNNCUCAAUAUUAUUAAAUAUAUAUAUAUAUAUAUAUAUAUAUAUAUAUAUCAUCAUUCAUGGUUAUGGGAUUACAGUAUAUCUGUUUUGCAACGAAGAGUAAAGCUUAAUUAAUUUUUUAAAUACUUGCCUAAAUCAUUAAGAGCAAUCAUCAAUUAUAAAUUGAUUGCUAAUAAUUUAGCUAAUUUAAUUUAUUAAAUAAAUUUAAAGCGAAAAUUUUAACUAAAAACACUAAUCAAUAUAUAUAUAUAUAAUCUUGAAAAAAAAAAGAAUUUGACUUGACUCUCUCCAUCGAUCCUUCCUAUUUUUCUUUUUCUACAAAUUUUUGAAUUUUCUACUUUAUUUUUUGAAAUUUUUGAUAGGAUGAUUCUUGUUAAUGUUUUUAUAAUAAUAAAAAUUAAUCUAAAAUUAUUGAAUUUUAAAAUUUUUGAAUUUUUUUUAUCUAAAUCUAUGUAGCUAUAUGUAUAUAUCUAUAAAUACCUCCCACUUUCAAUGAUUUUUUCACAAUGGUCUGUCUUCAUAUUGAUUUGUUGUUUCUUUAGAUUAUUUUACUUUCAAUUUUUUGAGUUUUGAUUGUACUAUAUAAAUUUUUAUUUUUUUAUUUUAAUAUAUAUUGUUAUUAUUGUUUUUCAGAUUUUGAAUUACAAAAAGACGAUAUUAGCAAUUUCAAUCGAUAUAUAUCAUGUCUCUUCUUCUUCAAUUAAGUACAAUAAAUUAUAUAAUAUAAAGUAUGUUUAAUAGUAAAUUUUUUCUUGGUCUAUGUAGUUUUUAAGUUUAUGAAUGAAAUGUCAAUAUUUAUUUAUUUAUUUAUUUAUUUAUUAUUAUUAUUAUUAUGUCAUUUCUUUUAUCUGUUUUAAUUAUUAGGUAGGAGAUUAUUAUUAUUUACAUAAAUUAAAAGAAAAAAACAUUAAAUCCAAUAAAUACAUUUAAAAUAACAAAGAGAGCUUAUAAGAUAACAUCUAAUAAAUUAAAAAAUAAUAAAUUUAAUACAUUAAAAAUAAAUUUAGUUACCAUUUAUAUUUAAAAUGAUAUUCUUAUAUCCUUAAAAUUUUGUUUUUAUUAUUUAAAUAUUAAAAAAUUAUUUUUAACAAUCAUAUUUUAAAAUUAAUAGUCAUUGACAAUAAUUAUCUAUAUCUAUAUCUAUAUUUUAAUUUUAAAUUUUGAACAUUUUUGUCUUUUAUUAGAUCACUUAAGAUACUUUUUCUAAGUGUAAAAUUUAAAAGUUUUACUUAUUUAAAAUAAUUAUUUAAUUUAUAUUUGAAUUUUGAAUAUUUUUAAUUUUAUGUUAUGUCUAUGUAUUUAUAACGAUUAUCUGUUUUUAUAUCUAUGUAUCUUCAUCACCAUCAUACUUGAAGAUGAUCAAUAAAAAAAAUUGCAAGUGAAAUAAUUUUAUUCAUCAUCACCAUCAUACUUGAAUAUGAUCAAUUUAAUUUUCUAGCAAUAAUUAUAUGGUACAAAUAUCAUUUAUUAUUUAAUAUUCACUUUAUGAUUUUAAUUUUUUUAAAAAUAAUAAAUAAACUUGGUUUUUCUUUUAUUUGCAGUUGCAAAAAGAUUUGAAUAAAAGAAAUCAUAUAAUCAAUUGCCAAAAUUAUAAUAAUUUGCUUAAGUUGAAAAAUGAACAUAAUUCAUGUUUUUUCUAAAAAAAAAAAAGCCUAAUAAAAAGCACAAAAAUUUAAUUUUAUUAACACACAUAACAGUAAUUGAUAACUCAUCUAAAUCUAUUUUAUAAAAGAAAAUCAAAUAUCCCACGCUGCAGGCCUUUAUCUAGUUAAAAUAAAAUUCUACAAACUGAAAAAGGCAAUUAUGAAAGUUAAAAGUUAGAACUUAGAACAAAAAUUUUCAAACAAUCAUCUGCUUUAUAUAUAUAUAUAAGCCUAAAAAUGAUCACUUUGAGAAAAAAAAAAUCAAGAAGGAAUGUGAAUAAUUUCUGCUACAAAUUAAUAUGGUUAAAAAACAAAUCUAAAUAUUUAAAAUCUAAAAUCUACGUACACAUAAUCAUUAAAUGAUUUUGUAAUGCAAUAAUAAAAGUAAAAAAGGACUAUUAGCAAAAUAAAAAAUAAUUUUUUUUUGUUAAAAAAAAAAAAAUUAAAGUCAGACAACCUGCCUGUGAUUAAUUAGACAAAUAUUAAUUGCCAAUUAUUAAGCAAAUAAACUAAAAAUGUCUCCUUAUAACUAACUCUCAAAACAACGACGAACCAAUUCUCAAAAGAAUCUAAACCCUAACUUUAAUUAACUAAAUAAUAAUUCAUAUUAAAAAAAAUUAACUAAAUAAUAACUAUCCAGUGAAGUCAUGCAUAUAGCUCUUGUAAAGUUCAGCGGCAGCUUUAGCAGCACAAAGACCAGCAGUAAGAUUAAUCUUAUCAUCUUCUAAUCUUCUGCACUCUAUUUCCAAAUCAUUCAUAUGCUUACCCAAUUGCUCGAUAACCGAGCUUUGCCUCCCAACUUCUGCAGAAAGAUUCUUACUCUCUUCUCUUAACUUUCUGCAACUCUUGACUUUCAUUCCAACAUUCUUUAUAGUAAUCUACUGAUGAUUCCACAAUCUGAAUCUUGUCCUCCAAAUCACUUUUCUCACUUAACGUUCUGUUAUAAUUUUUUUCAUAAUCACAAGCAGCACUGUAGUAAUACUGAUGAGCUGAAUUCGCUUCAGAAAGCUUGUCAUUAAGUUCAUUUUUCUCUUCUGCCCAUCUUUUUUGGGCUUCUGCAAAAUCUAACUCCAUUUGUUGAUAAUUUUCUAUUAACUGAUAAACAGAACCAAGCUUUUCAUGUAGUUCUUUUUUCUCCUCAUCAUCAUUUUCAUACUUUCUUGAAUUCUCUUCUUGAACUUGCUCCAACAUUUUUAGACUCUCUUGCAGUUUUUCUUUUUCUGUAGUUUCAUAUCUAAUAUCUGCAAUAAGUUUCUCUUUCUCUUCCACCAACUUAAGGAUUUGCACAUCACAGAAUUUAACUGAGACAUCAAAAUCCUUUUUCAUCUUUUUGAGUGCUUGCUCAAAGAUCCGUUUCUCCAUUGUCAAUUUCUUGAGGUCCAUUUCGAGAAAACCGCAUCCACAUUUCAAUUUAAUUAUUUCUUCGCCUUUUUGGUCCAGUAGUCCAGGUGGUUUCAGUUGUUCUUGUUCUUUUGCUUCUUUCACUUCUUUCUGGUCUGCUACAGUUGCUUUAAGUUCUAUCUUUGAUUCAUGUUUCGAAUUAUUCCUGUUUUGAGCCAUUUCUUGAAUUUUCUCCGAUGUCAACUCAGAUUUCUUUGCUCUUUCUUCCUUAUUCAAGUUCUGUACGUUUCUAAUUUUUCUAUUUUCCACCUCAUUAUUAACAAUAUAAUUUGAUAUGCGUUCCUUGAGAUAAUCCAAAUACACUUUCAUUGAUUCGAGAUGAGCUUUCUCUUUGGAUCUUUCUUUCCUAAUCUUCUCAGCUUCCUCUUUCGAUGCAGCCUCUUUGAUGAUCUCAGCUUUAUCUUUGGAUGGUUCCAUCUCGGUUUCAGUAUUCAAUUUCUUGAUUAGUUCUUGACUCUUAGUAGGAUCCUGCAAAACAUAUUCUGGAAAGUUAAUGGAUAUAUAAAUACUAUCAACAAUAACCAAGGAACUUGAUAUUAAUUCAUUCUAAAUUGAACAGCACUAAACUUGUAUUGUAUUUUGUAUGCCCCAACGAAAUAUAGUAUAGUCAGACAUUAUAUCAGGUUAUUUCAAGAACUUUUUUUAUCAGCAACAUAUAUAUGUAUACUAUUAAUUUAUAUCCAAGAAAAACUUAAUCAUUUUCAGUUUAUAAACCUAAGUUACCUAGUAAAUGCCAGAUAAAAAAAACCUAGAAAACCUCAAUUUACAUCAGAUUGGUUAUGUAAUUACUUAAUCAAAAACACUAAUUGAUAUCAAUGUCAACUCAUGAAAAAAAAAAAAAAAAGUUAACUUUUAACUUUUAGCAUUUUAUGAAAAACUACCUAAAUUAUUAAUAGCUAAACUCUAAUAAAAGCCGUGUUAGUUAAAUAUCUUUUAGCGUAAAAAAAAACUAAAAGCUAACUUUUAGAUGUUACGUUAGUAUUUUAUAAAAAAUUAAUUCCUGUAAAUAGAUAAAAAAACAGCUAAUUUUGCGAAAUAAAUCCAAUUUUAUUGUUGCAGACAAUAUCAAUACAAAGCAGUUACUCUAAUAUAUUGAGAUCAAUAGUCGAGCAAACAAGAAAUUGAUUAAUUAACUCUCUCUCUCUAUAUAUAUAAAUCAAUUACAGGAGAACUUACAUUAGGUUUAGCGGUAGCAAAUUUUUGGAGAAGGCCAUACGAAAGUAGUAUAUGAGAUAUAAUUAUUAUCACCAACGACGUAAAAGCGCCUAAACCCUUAACGUAAACCUCAAUAUCUCCAAAACAACAAUGAAAGAAUAACACAAAAUAGAUCAAAAACCGCGCAAAACAUAUUGUACUAGUACCAUUGGAACUCUGCAAAAGAAAGUUAAUUACUUAAGUAAUUAUCCAUAACUAAAAACGCAUAAUUUAAAUAAAAAAAACAAGCAGCUAUGAUCUUGAAAGGGAUGGGGGAAUACUCGCAAAAGAACCCUAAUUUGGAUACUCACAUAAGUAAUGACGAUGCCAAAGCAGAAAUUAGUGAAAACCAAGAAUGUUAUGGCCAAACGUAAUUGAACUGUAUAUUGACUUAGAGAAAUACAAAUAAAUUUUAAAAUUAUCAGUCGCUCAAUCCAGAAAAUUGCAGUGAAGGCUAUGUCAUCAAGUUUCGUGUCUUCUUCUCCUCUCUUAACAAUAUUGGCCAUUGUUUGUUUGCUUAGCGGAAAAGUAGCAAUACGAAAAAUAUGAUUAGGGUUUUAUGGUUUAUACAUAGGCUAUUAUAUUUUUCCUAUAUAUAGGGUAAUUUUUACAUAAUUUGUUAUGGUUUAGGAUUGGCUGAGAAUCAAAUCGGUACGUGAAUGGAUAAAGAGUUUAUUUUUUUAAAAAAUAGCAAUUAAUCUCAAUUAAUAAUUAAUAAUUAAUAAUUUUCAAACAAAACUGCAAUAGCUAAUAGCAAUGUUCUGUUCUUAUAGGGAAAGUAAUUUAGAUGGGUAUAGGAUGUAGAAUGAAUUUGGUGCUUGGAGGAUUUAUAGAAUCCAUUAAAGACUGAGUCCGUAUAGGUCAAAAUCUUAAUUCUUAAUUCGAAGAAAAAGAAUGGGGUGAUUACAGUGUGAAUUUAGACUUAAAAUUUUUAUGGAAAUCUUUCAUUCCUGCUGCUAAAGAAUAUAAAAAUAUUAGAGAAAUAGAAAAUAUAUAGAAUAAGAAAACAAAGAUAAUAAUUAGUCUGCCUAUGUAGUCUACAAGAAAGAAAAGAGGAGAACUUUGGUUUCCUUGGGUCACUGGCCAUCUGCCGGGAGUUUCGGAUUUAUGGCUUGGGUUAGCAAUGGGACACUCUAAUUGGUUUAAUUUAAAGUUUAUCAAGUGGUUUGGUUUGCGGACCAAUCAUUUCUCUCCACUCUCUUUGAAUUGAAUGUUACACUAUAAGUAAAAUAAUGUCACAAUAUCAGAAGCAAUAUAUUCCUAAGAAUAUAUUCUUUGACGAGAUUCCCACUGAAAGGUUCAAUUGUUACAUUAUAAGUUUAACAAUUUAUAGGUGAGAUUGUCACGCCACAGUUAACAAACAAAAUAUUAUUGUUAUUGUUACACUAUAAUUACAACUAUAGUGUUGCAACCUACAAAUAUAAAAUAUGUACUGUGUCAUUGUUAGUGUAAUAAUAUAUUUUGUUUACACCUCAACAAUUUGAUGCCAUGAAAGAGAUGUUUGUGGGGAAGAAAAAUAUUCUUGUAUUAGGCAUAAGAGGUAUAAGAACUAUAAAUUAUUAAAUGAAAAAAAAAUGUGUAAGAAGUGUAAAAGAGUAAAUUAUUAAAAGAAAGAAAUUUCUUUGUAAGUGCAAGAGAAUAUUUACUAUUCCACUAUUCUAAUCCGUGAAGCUUGGUAAAUUGUAAGUGUAUAUAAAGGAAAGAACAUUGCUUCUCCCAUUUAUCUACAUGAGGAGUGCUUUUCCCUUAGUCUCCCCUUCUUGCUUUGGUAAGGUUUAAUUUUUUUUUUUUUUGUUAAUAUAUUUUGUUACAUAUUUGUUAAUAUAUUAUGUUCAGAUAUGAAUAUGAGUGUUAUAAUAUACUUGUAAACUUAAAGAAUAUAUUCUUUCUGACACUGUGACAUUGUUUUAAUUAUAGUGCAACAUUCAACAAAAAGAGAGUAAAGAGAAUAUUGUUCUAUAAAACUGCUGGACAACAUUAAUAUAAAUUAAAAUUGAUUAUUUUUAUUGCAGUCAUAGUGUAAUAAUGCAUUUGUUAAAUUAUGACUAGAAUAAAAGCCUUUGAAAUGUCAACAAAACAUUGUUAUGAUAAAUAUCAAUAGUUCAUAAUAUAAAUUUAUGGAAAUUUAAACAUCUAAUUUCUACAAUUAAUGAGUUAAAGAUAGCAUAAUAAAAUUAUUUGAGAAAAAAAUUAAAUAAAAUCAAAAUUACCUUGUUUAUGCUCAAUAUUGAAUCACCUCUAUUUAUCUUCAAGACAAGCAACCGUAUCUUCUAUUAUCAACUUGCUGUAUAAAGUGGUUAGAAAUCAAAAGACACAUUAUAGUACUUACCCUUUCAUAAACUAAUGUGGUUAUGGAUUUAUAGCUAUUAAGGAAAAUAAAUUGGGCACGCUUCGCAUUUCAGUGACCUAGCAGCCAAAUUAUGUUAUGCUGUUUAACCUAGCUUUUUAACUACUGAUGGAAGAGCAUUUAGCAUCUCAAAGGGACCUAUAAAAUGCUAUCAUUGAAGUACGAGAAAAUAUCGGUCAAUUAGAGGUUACAAAGCUGACCCAACUGUAGGGUAGAGCAAACCGUUUGUUAAGUUCAAACCGAAAUCACAAAAUAUAAACCGAAGUUUCUUUAUAAUAAAUCAAACUGGAAAGAAUUUUUGUAAUGAAUCGAAUCAAUCGAACUGAAUCAAUCGGUUUGGUCUAUUUUUAUCGUUUUCACCGUUUCAGUUUUGUUCUAAAUCCAAUCACUGAAUAUUUAUGUAACCGAAUUGAACUGAACAAUAAAUUUGAUUCAAACCGAAUAAUCUGACUGACCGAACCUCUCUUGGGCAUCAGACCGAAUAAACCGAAAUGAGUCGGUUUGAUUUUCAAUUCGGUCCUACCGAUAAUUUUGCUCGCCUCUACACAUGAAAAUAUCCUUUUAACCUAAGAAGAUUAUAAUAUAUGUUUGACCCAAGAGAACGUGGGUCGACCUCGGCCGUUCUAUCAUUAUCUAGGCAGCCUACGGUUAGUUAAGUGGGUCAAGGAGCAAAUUGAUAUUUAGAGGACAUCAAUCAAUAUGGCCCAUCUAAAUUUAUAAUUAGACUUGGGCCAAGAUUAUGGAAGGCCUCCAAAGCAAAAGGAAUAUCUAAUAUAUGGUGCCUAUCCUGAAAAUUAUUAAGAAUAUCUUACAAAUUAACUUGAUCAAAUCUUUUUUUUUUCUUUUAAGAAACUUGAUCAAAUCUAAUAUUCUGAAAAUUUUCAAAUACAUUUUUUAUAUUAUUCUAUGCAUCUCUCUAUAACCUACGGGUUGUGACUCAGUUGGCAAUAUAGACUGAGCAGGUGGGAAGAGUUCGGGUUCGAUCCUCACUAAAUGCACUUGCAAUAGAAAUGUGAGAAACCUUAAUUGUGACUAAGUUCCGAGCUGGAAAAAGACAUCCUGAUGAUGGAGUCCGAAUACCGGUAAUUUAUUUUAAGAAAAAAUGCAUCUCCUAUAUGAUAAUCCUUCAUUAAUUUGUUAGACAUAUGAUUCUAUUGCUAGGGAAACUCAUUCUACAAUAACAGUAGCAACAUGUAGAAAUAAGUGUAAGUAACGAAAGUAAUAGCUAAAAUGAAUUAAGAACUUAACACUAAAAUAUUUAAAAACUUUUCAGAAAAAAAAAUUACUGCUCCGUUUAUUUCUGUAAACUAACUUACUGAAAAAUAUUUUUGUGGAAAACAUUUUCCUUGAAAAAUAUUUCUCAAAUAACUUAUUUUCUAUUAUUUGGUUAUAAUAUUGAAAAUUAGUUAAAAAUAUUAAAGUUUUUAUCUCAUAAGAUCAUAAAAGAUAUUAAUAAUAAUAGACAUUUUAUAAUUUAAAAAUUUUAUUGUUAAAUAUGAAAAGCAUGCAAAAAAAAAAUGUAAAUUAUGAAAGUCGUCGGUGGCUGGUGGUAAAUGAUGACUGGUGGUAGUGACUACGAUGAUUAAUAAAUUAAAAAAUAUAUAAAUAUAUAAGGUUUCCCAAUGUCCGAAAAAUGUUUUACUCUCUCAAAUAUGAGAAGUUAUUUCCUUAAAAAAUGACUUAAUUUUCCAUUGAUUAGGAAAACAUUUUCCAUUUACACAUUUUCCUGAAUACUCCAAACAAUGGAAAAUUGUAAAAAAUAUUUUCUGUAAAUUAUUUUACGAAAACAAACGGACCCUAACAUGAAAAAUAAUCUAAAUUUCACAGUCCAACAUGGCCUAUUUCGUUUUCCAAAUGAGCUAACUCAUAGAUGUUUUAAGUUUAUUAACUAUUUAAUAAUCAAAUAAUAAUUUGCUAAGUGAGGCAUAAUUUUCCAAAAAUAACUUAAGAAAGAACAUGAGUUAAUAAGAACUAAGAGAUCGUACAUGUCUUAGAUUAUCUAAUAUAAUUUGGAUUAGACAGAGGCUGUAAAAGGCAGGGACGAGAAAUUAAAAAAAAAUAAAGAAAUAAACAGAAAAAAAUAAAUAAUUUGUUUCAAGUUUGGUAGUUACAUUUUAGUGAUAUUAAAAUACUUUUUAAUUUAUUUUCAUUUUUAACUCUGUCAAGUGGUUGCAUUUUUCUAAAAACAAACACAUAAAUGCGUAAACUAAUUUAAUUUAGUGGUUAAAAUGCAUUUACUUACUUAAUCCUGGUGAUUGUAGAAUUGAGCCAUAGAAUUAAACAUUUUAAGACUCUAAACAAAAGAACAGGAGUGAGAGGAUAUCUUUAGUAGUAAAAAUAAACAAACAUAUACAGAAUAUAAAGAAUUUUAGCGGAAAAAAAAGAUCCAUAGACCCUUUUUAAUAUGUAGAUUGGUACUGUUAAUAAUUUUAUGAUGUUUGAUCAUAUGAAAUGAGAAAACAACAAUCACGUAUUAUUUUGUUACUUAGAUAAUAAACGAAUGGUUUUUGCUUGUGAAACAUCGUAACAUUAUAAUAGAAGAAUGCCUUAGGUUUCAUGCCGUAUGACAUACAUAGAAUAUUCACCGAGAAGUUCGCAAUUAAAAGAGAUAAUUUAUAUGAAUAAUAAUUAUAUAAUAAAUAUAAGUGACAAGAAUUCCUUACAAAAAGAUAAUAAACUGUUAAAAUUAAAUUGCAAAAAUCUUCGACUAUUUUCAUUUACUGAAAUCUAUUCUUAAUAAUUUUAUUGUCAAUAUUAUCAAAUAUAUAUCUUUUAAGGGUAAAUCAUUAAAUAUACUCCAAACUUUACGUAUUGUAAUAAUUACACCUUAAAAUGAACUUAACCUCUCAGGCACCCCAAUUUAGGCAUGACCGGUUCAAAAUUUUUAAAAUGUUGAACCUGAACAAGUCCUUGAACAACCGGUUCCGACUCUGGCCGGGUCCGGUGCGGUUCCGUUGAACCGACUGUUCCGAUCAUGGUUUCCGGCGAUAUAUGUUUUUUUUUUAAAAAAAAAAAUCAGUUUUAACGUUACAUCUUUUUUUUUGAAAAUAUUAAUAUGAGUUUAAAAAAUAUUGGUAAAUUUUAUUUUAAAUAAAUUUUAGAAUACUCAUACUCAUAUAAGAAUAAAAUUAAUUAAUUUUACAAAAUAAUCAAAUAAGUUAUCACUUUAUUUUGUUCAAAUUUUAUUAAUUAAAUAAAUUAUAAGAAAAUUUUGAAAAAUGCUUCAAAAGAAUGUAAUUUUAAACUUAGUAAACAAUUUAAAAGGGUAAAAAAAAAAAAAGAGUUAAAAACAAUAUAAGUUUAGACUAAAUAUUUCUCUCUUUUUUCUACCAUUUUACUUUUUAGAUUUUUAACUUUUAAAGUAAAGUGUAUUUAAAAAAAAAAAAGAACUUAAGUAAAGUAUAUCAUGUAGUAAAAUAUUAUUGAGACUUUUAGAGAUGUAUAAAAUAGGCUAAGUGAUUAUUAUUUUGAAAAUAAAAAUAAAAAAUUUUCGGUUCAAAUCGAACUGAAACCGCCUAUUAACUGACGGUUCAGGUUUAGAUUUUAGCAUUGACAUGAACCUUAACCGGCCUUUGAACUGCCGGUUUCAGUUCAUCUACAGUACAGUUCGAUUUUGGUUCAAAAUGAAUCGGUGGCCAUUCCUACCCCAAUUGCAAACUUUUGUGAAAAUUGUACCCUAAUUUUAAUUUGGUCAAAAUUAAAUAAUAAAAUAAUAUUAUUAUGGGACCUAUAGUAACUACUUGGGUUGAAUUAACCAUGCCAUGGGUUAAGUGAAACAGAUUGUGUCACUUAAGGUUGGCUCCCUCACUCUCCUUAAUCUUUCUUUUCUUAACCACUCUUCUCCUUUACCUCACCUUUCCAACAAAACGACCAGUAACAUAGAAGAUCAAAGCACACAGCAAACUAUAAUUUUAAAUCAAACAGUAACACUAUGAACACAAAAGGGCACGAGUUAACCCUUUAGUGCUAUCAUAUAUGCUUCCCGAGCUAUUUUCUAGUCUCUCCUAAUAGUGACAACUUCGCCCUUGUCAUAUUAAAACUUCAUGGUGAGAUACUUGAUGCAUGUGGCCGCUUCCAAUUCAUAUACGGCUAGUCUUCCCAAUAUGACAUUGUAUCGAAAGUGAAUAUUUGCUACCAUGAACUCCAAUUUGAGUUUCCUUGAUGAGACUUCGGUUCUGAGCUCUAGAGUUAUGUCUAUAGAUCUAGACACUUGUACAGGUUUUCCUGCCAAGCCGACUAAAGGGGUUUGGAAAGUUUUAAGUUUCGCCUGGUCUAGUUUUAAAGCCUUGAACACUUCCAUGUUCAACAAGUUCAUUGCACUACCUCCAUCCACCAAGAUUCUUUUUACUAGAAAGUUUUCCAAAAUUCCCUCAAUUACUGGGGCAUCAUUGUGUGUGGUAUUUACAAGUUCACCGUCAGCCUCAGAGAAUGAUAUGGGCGGCCUAACACUUGGUUUUUGCUAGAGUAGAAUGGAAUAGAUUUUCCUGGCUCUCAUUUUCCUAGCUGAAUUACUGUCACCUCCCGUUGACCCACCAAAUAUGGUGUGGAUUGUGCCCAGGGUAUGACAUUCUUACACCUGCUUGUCCUUUUGUUCACUUUCUCUCCGAGCUCUCCCAACAAAUUACUUUAGUUUGCCUCUUUACACAAGGCAUUCUGUCUCUUUCUUUAAUUACCAGCAGGCUUCAAUCUCAUGGCCUACAUCGCUAUGGAACUCGCAAUACUUGCUCUUAUCUCGAUAGCUCGAGGUAUCCUCCUUUAUCUUUCUAGGAUAAUAGAACUGAAUUUGAUCGCAUUGUUCUCUUACCUGGGCCAAUAUUUCUGAAUGCAGUCUAUUCAAAUGGGUAAACUCCCGAUCUUGUUGUGGUUUGCCAUCUCUUGAGUAUCAUGUUCGAAUAGAGUAACUGGUUUGUGGGAACCAGAUGGACGACCUCCUUCGGGGCGAUCGUCUCCUUACCGGGGAUGGGUGUCUUUUGUGUCUAUACCUCUCUUCUUUGGGCGAUCUAUGCUGUUGUGCCUCAUAGACUUCAUCUAGUUUUGUGUAUUUGUGAGCUCGUGUCAUGAGUUUGGUGAAUGUUAAGGGAGGGUCUAUACUUAAACUCUCAAAUAACUUGUUGUACCUGCAAUUCUUUGCCUUGUCGCUAAUGGCCACCUUAUCAUUCAAGUUCUCCAUUUGUAUCGCCAUUCUUUAAAAUUUGGAUACGUAUUACCUUAGGGUCUCCCCCUCUUCUCUUUUUAAACUACAAAAGUUUGACAAUAUUUUUCUGGAUGGUACACAUGUUAUGAAACGAGCUCGAAAUGCUGUGGCUAACUGGGAGAAGUAAUGAACGGAUCAUGUUUUGAGUGCUUGAUACCACUCUUGAGCUGCUCCUUUCAGGGUAAUUGGGAAGACUUUGCAUAUUAGAUCCUCCAAGUUUAUUUGAAGGUUCGGAAGAUCGCCAGAUGGCUUUGGGGAUCGGUAGAUCCAUCAUAUGCUUGGAAAGUAAGAAGUUUGAACUUCAAUGGGAAGGCUACAACCAAAAUAUCAGCUGACAAGAGCGAGUCUUGUCGGAGACCAUAAUCCCCUGUUUCUUCUGUGUCUCUACACUCUCGAACUAAUUCUUUGACAACAUUCCGGAGAUUAGCUCCGUCCAAGAUUGGCUGAGUGUGACUUAGCUCUUAGUUGUUGAGGUUAGUCACACUAGGGUCUACUUCAGAUUCUGCCUCAUAGUAUCGAUCAAACAUUGAAUGACUUUAGUAUAUAGGCGAGGUUGGAGGGAGGCUAUGUUCUAGGUGGGGAGGGUUCACCAGCUUGGUGGGUGGUACUAGCUCGCUGCUUGGCUUAGGGUUCUUCAAGAGGCGUUUGGUGGUGAACUGUGAAUAAGCAUGAGCUAGAGCAACUGCUACCUGAAGAUCAGUGGUCAUUGGAGAGGUGAAUGUGGGUUGUUGGUUGAUCCCACCAUAGGUGUUGUCUUGGCCUUUCAUGUUGAGGCAUUCACUGUACUCGUUAGCCAUAGGAACCGAGAAAAACUAUAGGGAUUUUUUUUUAGAGUUUGAAUGUAUAUUCCACCGAUUCCACGGUCAGACUUUAAGGUGUAGUAAAUUGUGAAACCUUUCUUAGAGUAAAUUUGGAGUAUAUAUACACUAGGUCCAGGACAAUUGUAUUAGGAUAAGAAUUACGAAUCCUAUAUUAUCCAUUAAUUAGAAUUUAUUUGAAAAUGUAGUAUUAUUAUUUUAAUAUAUUUUAUUAUUGUAUGUUAAUAGAAACAAUGAAAGGAAAAAAAAAAAAAAAAGGAGACAAUGCUGUCAAUAAUCGCUCAACCAUACCUUUUAAAUCUCCACGCGGAUACCAGAAAAAAUGGGCUUAUCAUGCUAGUAAAUAAACAAAUAUCCAUUUUCUUAUUUGAUUUUGUACCCAUAACUCAAUCAUAAUGCUAUUGUUUCGAAAGAGAAUGCAUAGAAAAAGGAGUGCAAGGGAAUCAAAUCUUAAGGAAGCAGACCUGAUAUUCGAGAAGAGGAGAUUUGGAGAGAUGGAGAUUGAGAAGAAGAGGAAUAGUCUUUGUCUUAUCAAAAGGGUAUUUAAGUCUUUCACUCAGCAUUUAACGGUAAAAAUUGCUAAAAUUAAACUGAAGGACCAUUUAAUGAGACAGAACCAAAAGAAAAACAUGAGGAUGAGUUAAUUAAUUUUGUAAAAUCUCAGGAACGAAAUAAUUAUUUUUCCUUAAUUAACUUAUUAAAUACUACAAGUAAGUCAAAUUCUAUAAUUCAAAAAUAAUUCAUUAAACUCUGUAUAUUAUAAUGCAUCGAGAGAAAUUAAUAGUUAUUAAAUCAAGAAUUAAUAGACUAUGAAAGCCAAUAAUUAAAAAAGAAACGAAAUUACAAAGUUAAAUAGGAUUUUAAUUUUUUUAAAAAAAUAAUUAUUCAAAUAUUUUCCGUUUAUAAUUUCAAGGGGCCAUUUGCCUCUUGCCCAAAUGUGGCUCCGUUCAUGCUUAUUUUGUUAAAAUAAAAGUAGUUACACUGCUAUGGCGUUAGCAACAAUAGCUUUGAUAAUAAUCUUAUCCCUUUUUUAUAAUUUUAUAAAAAGAAUCAACGUCCUUCAAUUGAUUGAAAUAAGAAUAUAGUUUUAAAUUAGAAUCCAGAAACAAUGUAACUUUUAUUACCUAUCAAGAUUCCAUUUGUUUCUCAAAAAUAAUUUGUUUGAAAAUUAAUUUUUAAACUUUUAAUGAUUUGGUUACUUAAAUAAUUAAUUAAUGAAAUAUAUAUUCUUAAUUAAAUGAAAAACUCUUUUAAGAAAAAUAACUUAUUAUUUUUAAAAGAUAAAAAUAUUUUUUUAUGUUAACAAAUUUAUUAUAAUCUUAUAAAAACACAUUUAUUAAUUCAUUAAUUAUGAAUAUUCACCAUCACUAGUCACAGGCAAUUACUGGAUAUUAAUAAUUAAACUUUUUAUGCAUUUUUCUCAUAUUUAAUUCUAAAUAUUUAAAAUACCUAAUUUGUGCAAUUAUAAAUAUUUUAGAUUCUUAUAAAUUAAAAUUUUUAAUAUUUUUUAUUAGUUUUUAAUUCUACAACCAAUUAACAGAAAAUGAGUUAGUAAGAUAUUAAAUAUUCUUCAAGAAAUAUAUUUUACUUUGAAACAUAUUUUCAAAAAUAAAUUAUUUUCUAGCAACAUGCGGCUGUAAAAUUUUUAAUUUGAAAAGGAAACAGUAAUGGAAAUUAAAAACCACCCUUAGAGAAACCCAUGAGCUGCAUCAAGCAUGCAAUAAGCAUGGAAUAAAUGUCAAAUCCCACCGUCCAUAACAAAUCCACUAAAAUGACAUCCAAACCCAUCAUCGUACAAAAUGAAAUAUAAUAUAAAAACAUAAUAUUCCAUCCCCUAAUUAACAUCAUCAUAUUAUGUACGUACCAAUGACCAUACGAUACGAUUUAGAAUUUCGCAUCUAAUAUUACACGGUCCAAACCGCCCCAAUUCAUUAAUUUUAUUUAAUAAAUUUAAAAUAGAUGAGUGGAUUAAGACUGCGUUGAUAUUAGGUUUGAUUUUAUAAGAUCAACCAAAUCCCGAUUUAAAUUUAUUAAAAAUUUAAAAGAAAGAAGAAGAAAUCGAUUGGAUUUGAGACUCUCUAUGAACCUGUUUUGAUGACGUAGUUUGUUUACUUUUUGAUUAUAUUUGAUUCUUUGUGUAUAUACGACGUCACAUUAAUGGCACGAUGAAUGCAUGUUUCCUUUUCAUGCAUUUUGUUUGGACGUGUUUGGUUCAUUCAAUUCUUUGUUUUAGUUCAAUAAACCGGUGGUUUUUGGACUCUUGACGCUUUUAAAUCCGUCCUCGUAUUCGGAGCUUGCUGGUUUUGUUCUCAUUUCCAGUUACGACGCAAUUCUAAAAAUGCUCAGUUCCGGCCAGUCGUUGAAUCUUUUUCAGUCUUUCUUUUACUGGAAUCGAUCAGCCUAUUGAAUUGAUAAUCUUGAUAUAAUUUAAGUCAAGUCCAAUACCUUGAUUUCGAUAUUUUCAGAAUCAGAACUCUCAAAUUGAUUUUGAUCCAACUUACUAAAUUGAUUCUCAUACUAACCCGACCUGUGGCUAGUGUUAAUUUUGUUACUAAAAUAUAUAUAUAUAUAUAGCUUAUUGUUUAAAAAGAAAAAAGACUUAAUUUAAUAUAGGAGUUUUUUUUUUUUUCUAAAUUGAAAUCAAAUAAUCCUAAUUUUUUAGUUUCCUUUGUUUGGAUGGAUGAAAUGUGAUUCACGGAUUUGAAUGAUAUUUUUGCAAUGGAAUUAAGUUGUCUAAAUUCCAUCAUUAAUUAAAAAAAUAUGGUCUUAGAGAAAUUUUACCUAUUAAGGGGUUUUUUUUUUUCCUUCUAAAAUUGUAGAACUGAGGUUAUGAUUGGUAAAUUUCAUGAAUAUUUUUUCUCAACAAACAAAAGAAUUUGUUAAAUCUGUAAUAUUUAAAUUGUAUCAUUCAAAUUUUACUAAUCAAAGCAAUUUCAAAGUGCAUUUCUUAUAAUAAUAACUUCAACAAAUACCCGUGAUAACUUGGUCUAAUAGUUAAAGCACACUAGAUCUCACUAUGAUGAUCGCAUGGUCGAAUUGUGAAGUUGGCAUAUUAAAAAGGUCUUUUAAACAUAAUUGCUCUUCGGCGCAUAAGAAAGUAGUCUCUCGUCUAAUAUUAUAACGCCUUCUAUACUUACUAUGAUUACUUGCCUUUUUUUCAAAAAAAAAAAAAAAUUAUAUACACAUAUUGUUUUUAAAUAUAAUAUUAUGGCAAGGGAUUGAAUUACAUGGGGAAAAAAAAGUAGAAGAUUUAUAGGAUAAACAAUAUAAUAUUUACAGUUGCGCAUCCAAAAUUACACGGUCCAAACCGCCCCAUUCAUUAAUUUUAUUUAAUGAAAUUAAAAUAGAUAAGUAUAUUAAGACUCAAGAGAGUUAAAAAAAGAAAAGUUAAAAAAUGAUAAUAUAAAAAAAAGGCAAGUUAAGAGUUUGCCUUAAUAAUAAAAUGAAAAGUAAAAAUAUUACAGCGGUUUAUGAGCUGGCUUUAUUUAUAAUGAUAAGUAUGAUAUAUUAUCUCUGUUUUUAGUAAUGUAAUAUGAUAUGUUAUCUAAACGCAUGGAUAUGUUAUCUAAAUGCAUGCAUGUAAUUAUAUAUGUUAUUUUAUGAUGUGCUUAAUUUUUCUCGUGUUAUAGUCGUUCAUGUAAUUUUUUAUUUAUAUAAUAUUAAAAUAUUUUUAAUAGUGAUUAAUUUAUAUUGCAUUUUAUAUAUAUAAUAAUUUUUUUUGUUACAUGUCUUUCAAUGUAACAUUUAAUUAAAAAGAACCACUCAAAAAAAUAUUUAAUUAAAAAGAAAAUGAUACUUAUAUUAUAUUUUUAAAAUAACACUUUUUAUUUGUAUUCUCUUUGAGCUAUUGAUUCACUACAACGUGGAAAACAUCUGUUAAUUAGGUAAACUGAGUUGAUAUUAGGUUUGAUUUUGUAAGAUCAACCGAACCCCAAUUUAAACUUAUUAUAAGAAAGAAGAAGAAAUAGGAUUGGAGUUGAGAGUCCUUAAUAUGAACCUGUUUUGAUGACGUAGUUUAUUUACUUUUUGGUCGUAGUUGAUUCUUUUUGUGUACGUACAUAUACGCCAACGUCACGUCAAUAGCACGCAGAAUGCAUGUUUCCUUUUCAUGUAGUUUGUUUGGACGUGUUUGGUUCAUUCAAUUCGUUGUUUUAGUUCAAUAAACAGGUGCUUUUGGAUUGCUGAGGUUUUUAAUAAAUCCGGGUCGAACACCUUGAUUUCAGUAUUUUCAGAAUCAGAACUCCCCGAAUUGAUUUUUCUAAAUAUAGCAGUAAUAUAUUUUUCUAAAUUGAAAUCAAAGAAACCUAAUUUUUUAGUCUCUUUCAUCAAAUUGAAAAAACAAGCACUUAUUUUAAUUAAUAAAAUUUGAAAUCCAUGGAUUUGAAUGUUAUUUUUCAAUAGAAUUAAAUGGUUUAAAUUCAAUCAUUAACGACCAACAAAGUAUUGGUUAAGGUGGUAAGCAAUCUCGAUGUCCAUAAAGGUGUCAGAUUGUGACAUCCUUUUGUUCAAUUUCUACAUAUUUUCCAUGAAAUACUUUAUGAAUGAUGAAAAUCUAAUAAUAUAACGGAAGCAAAAUAUGGAGAUAUAUUAAUAUAUUUAAAAAAAAAAAACAGAAACAGACCAGUUGUAUUUCAUAAACCGCAAAGAUGGUGUUAUAAUUCUUCCAUUUGAGUUUUGGCUUCUCGAGGGCAAAGGCAUAUACAAAUUGUGAAAAGCUCUUGAUAGUGAAUGAGAGCUGGACGACACUAACCUAAAAUAUAGUUAUAUUAGCGGUGGUGUGAUAGUUUCACAGCACCUAAAACUAUGUUACUACCAACUAAAACGUCACGCUCUUCUUCCAAAUAUGCACCAACUUCAAAAAAUUUAUGAUAAAAACAAAGUUUAAACAACAUUCCUUUGAGCAUUUAUAAUUUAUACUUUUAUUUGGGUUAAUUAGGUAAUAUAUAUCUAUCCUUCCGAUGUCAUUAAUUAAAAUUAUUUAUACCGUUACUAACUUGGUGAAUUCGAGUGUAAUCUGAUUUAUUUUCUUCUUUUCUGUCAGAAUGUGAGAGAUUUUUUUAAAUCGAGAAUUUAAUGAGUCAAAGAGAGACCUAUUUAUUUUGGUUCAUUAAUUCUUAUAAUGAAUAAAAAAAAUAUACCCUCGAACAUGAUAAUCACACCAACGAUUAUAUGAAAAGAAAAAAUAAAUCUUUUUAAGUGAAUUCAAUGAAUACAUUUUGAUCAACAUGCUAAAAUAUAAAUAUCAAUAUUCUAACUUGUAAUGCCCUAGAUUUUUUUUAUUAUCUAAAAUAAAUAAUGCAAGUGACUAAAAUGGUUAUUCAAAUUGAUAAAAUUCUACUUAUUUUAAUUUGAGUUCAUGAAUAUAAUGCUUUUACUAUAAUGUAGAAUAAAAGAUUUCUGUAUUGAUACAGAACUCAAAUAAUAUGACACUUGUGCAUAAUAUAUAUAUAUAUAUAUAUAUAUAUAUAUAUAUAUAUAUAUAUAUAUUCUAUACCUGACGAGAUUGAAUUAAACGGAAAAAUUAAAAGAUUUAUAGAAUAAAAAAAAAAAAAAUUUACUGUAAGCUUUAAUUACAAAUGACUGAAAAAUAUUAAAAUUUAUAAAUUAAAUAAUAAAGAUAAAUCUUAUUAACAUAAAUUUAAUUUUCAAAAUUAUCUAAUUCUACUCAUUUAGAAAUAUUAACUCAAUUAAAAAUAAGUGAUCAACUUAAAUAACUCCUUGAAUUAUGGUUCAGCAAAUUAUAUUUACAUUAAUAAUCUCAAUUAUUAAUAUCUUUUUUGAUAUUAAUAUCAGAAGUUCAAAUUAUGAGUGUUUCAAGUAAUUGCAUUUAUAUUAUCGUUCUAAUUUAAAUUAUUCUUAUUUAUAAGAAGUUCUUAAUCUUAAUUAGUGCUAUAUUGUUUGAGAAAAGCGGGAUUCGAACCUGAAUCUAUUGUCGGAUCAUAUAUACACUUGCCAUUAGAAUAUGCUUUAGUGUGUAUGAUUAUAUUUCUAUAAUAUACUAUAAUAUAGAAACCAUAAUGUCUUGAAGUAACCAUAAUGUCUCUUGAUUGAAAAUUUUCCACCUGCAACUGGAAGAUGCUAGUAAAGAAUCUAUGCCUUCAUGUGUAAACUUGGCCGUUGAGACCUUUAUGUAAAAAGAAAGACUAGUGACAUUUUGACCGUAAUUUUUAAGGAUUAAACCUAUAAAAAUAUCCUCAAUGUAACAUCCCUUCCCGGUCCACCCAUUAACCCUAAUGAACCGAGCCGAGACGCUACAAUUUGGUUGAACCUAUGUCCUGUCAUGCUGAUAUCAUCCUGUAUGCUAAAUAUUAUGUCAUGUUUAACAUCACUCCCAAUUAAACUCCAAACUUCCAACAUCUCCAAAUAAUCAUCAUAACACAAUAACACUAUUAUAUUUUCAUAACUGUAUAAAUCCUCAAUAGUAUUGAAUAUCCAUCAAAUAAUUGCAUUCAUGACAUAUAUCAAGUCUUAAUGAACUAUUUAAAAUAUUUCAUAUUCAAUCAUUUAAUAAGUAUUAUUCUUCUCUCCAAAUACUUACGCCAAAAUAAUUACAUGCUUCAAUUAUAUUUCCAAUAACAUAAUCUCUACAAAUGUAAUAAUUAUACAUGCUAUAAUUCUUAAUUAUAUAAAUCUCAAUCUCCUACUACCAAAGUAGUCACUUCUGCUUUGAUAUUACUCUUCACAUCUUCAAGUAGCAACCACAAUCUUCAACCUACGCGUAAUAAAAAUCGACGCGCUGAGUAUAAAACUCAGUGGUGCUCAUAAUUCACAUACUUACCAAAGUUGCGAUGGCAACUUACUUAAAAUACAAAUUUCAUAAAAUCAUUGAUAAUCAUAGAAUCAUUAAAUUUCAACAUAAAUUUACAUCUAUAGCAAAGAAAUAUCAAAUAAUCAUAUAAUUAAUAACAUACAUAAUUUAGUUCUAAUUAUACCAGAAAUCCUUUACAUAACCAUUUAAUCACACAUAGCAUUAUAUUUUCAUGAUCUUACCUUAUGUUCCUUAUGCUGUAUGAAUUAAAGAAAUAAACAUGUAAGCCCUAUGCUGUAUGAAUUAAAUAAAUAAAUAUGUAAGCACACAUAACAUUAUUAUGACUUAUGUAAUUUUUAGUCAACAUCGUAUAAGUUAUAAAUAAUAAAAUCUCAUAACUGUAUGGCUCCAUAAGGUUAUAGUGAAACCUAAGUGAUAAGAAGAACUGUAUGAAACUGGAUGAAUACUGUAUGGCUGGGCUGCUAUGGCCCAUAUAUAAUCAUAUCCACUCAACGGCCUGUAGCCGGAGUAACAAACUGUAUGGGGCGCAGAUAUGCUAUUCUAUGUCGCGAUAUAGCCUUAUCUACAUGGUUUCUACUUAACCUCAAUGGAGCAUAUUAUCUGUAUGUCAUUAAUACAAUCAACAUAUUAACUUAUUCAUGAAAUGCAUAAACCAUACUGUUUAUCUGUAUGCUGUCUCAUUAUGUAUGUUGCUAACCUGUUUCAUGCUUUCAUGCUUUAAAAAGGAUGUCCUAGACAAUUAUCAGUAAUAUCUAAUGAGUAAUAAUGCAAACAAUUAAUCACUUGUAAAGGAACUUGCAUGGAAAUAAUUUGACUGUUGCACCCGCGACACAACUCUUACUAAUCUUUAUGUAACUUAAUUUAUACCAAUCAAAUUAACAAAAUUCUUGAUUUUAAUAUAAGUUAACUCAGAAGGUUAAAUUCAGUAAAUAUCUUAGGCUGAAUGAAUCUACAUAUGCAUCCCAACAUCAUGUCUAAUGUAGCCUUGAAAUCUGCUAAGGCUGCCUGUACAUGUUUUACAAAUACUAGCAUAACUCUGUCUUCAUAAGUCCAAUUUAGGUAAUUCAAAAUUCUAUGGUGAGCUAACACAUUAGGGUACAAAUAUGUCUUCUAGCAUAUCUCUUAAUUAUGUUAGUAACGUAGUCAAAUAUUGAGCUAAAGUAACAACUUCCAGUCUGCCCAGCUUUUGGUUUCCAGCCUGCACAGUUUAUACCAUUUUGGACAUAUCUUUUAAUUUAUAAGUCCAAUUUAGAUGAUUUCCAAGCUUAUGGAUAGCUAAAACAUAAAGGAACAAAUAACUCUUAUACCACUUCCUAAUUCCAUCGUUUUCGUUUCUCAAACCUAUGAUUCAAGACAUAGAAAAUAUUCAGCAUUAAAUAAACUUUGACCUUUGCUGAGUGUUUAAGACAUAUAAAUUGAGUUAUAGGGCUUUAAAUUAAAUGAAAUUAGAUUAAUUAGAAAGCUAAGACAAAUUUAUACAAAUUUUAUAAAGGGAUCACAACCCAGAUCAAUGUGUAAGAUGGUGAACAAAGACUAGGAACACAGACCAACAGUCUAGACCUGAUUCAGCAGAACCAAGUCAACUGUUUGUUGUAUUUCUACUUAUCCAAACACUAAAACUAAACCAAUCCAAAACCAGAGAAGUCUAAAGACAUAGGGUAACAACUCUCAUGAAGACCUUAGAACAUAUUCUUGCCAUUAUAGUUGUCAAAAUGGGCACUCAAGUCAGUGAUGCAUGUGGCCCGUCAUAACAGAGUCAGUUUGGGUGUUUUAGCCAUAAGUGGAGCUAUAUAUAUCCAAAUUGAACAUAAGAGGAUGGGUUGGAAAGCUAAGAAGUAGACCUACAACUUUCAUGAAGAACUCAGAUACAACUGGAAAAUAAAAAGGAUCGAUACAUAGUCUUUAAUGCCACCUAAUAACACUUUUUCCCAAUUUCAGCUUACUUAAAUCAUAUACAAGGUAAAGAUUUCUUCCACAUACUAAAUACUCAUCAAAUAUCAUCUUAAGAGCAUAAAUCAACAAAGGAUAACAAGAAAACUUAAGGCCUUAUUCAUCAAUAGGUUCUGCCGCUCUUGGAAGAUGAAGAAGAAAAUGUUUUCCUCAUCAAUUCAACAUAUAGGCAUGCUUAGAAAUCUCUCAAGAACACAUUUAUACCACCAAAAUUGAAUAAUCAAAUCAUUUCAUAUAAAAUUCCCAAUUUUCACAAAAUAGUAUCAACUUCACAAAAUUAAAAAUUUAAACAAGGUAAGAGUGUUUAUGAACACUUACCUCAAAAUCAAGCUUGGAACACCCCAAAAGUCACCAAAUCAAACUUGAGUCUUGCAUUUAGCCACCUUAGAUAGCUCACCUUUUAAUUACCCUUAAAAAUUCUGCACAUCUUUAAGCUCCAAUUCAAUAAUAACCUUGAAUCUUCAAGAGGAAGGUCUUGGUUGGAGUUCAUAUGGUCUAGUUAGAGUGAUUUUUUUGUGAGAAAUUGAAAACAAUAAGGAAGAGAAGGAGAGCAUAUGGUUCGGCCAAGGAAGAGAAGAAAGAAAGAAAUGGUUGCUCAAAUCAUUCACGUUGAAGAUAAAAAGAUGAAGAGAAAAUGGUUGCUCAAAUCAUUGAGCACAAGGGUAUUUUAGUCUUUUCUCAACAUAAUUGGAUGGCUACGAUUAAGUCAAUGGUAAUCUAAUCCAAUGGCUAAAAAUAUUCUCCAAUUUAUUUCCUUCAAAAUAUUAUUUCUCUCCACAAAAUUCUUAAAUUUAAUCCUUAAAAAUAAGUUCUCUUAUUCCCUUACUUAAUAUAACACCAUCUCUAUUUACUUCAUAAAAAUAUUGCAUCUAAGUUCCUUAAUUAAUAUAACACUAUAAUUAACUAUUCACUAAUUAUCUAACUUCUCCAAAAAUAUUCAUUACUUACUUUCUACCCAUAAAAAUAAUGUAUACAUACUCCAAAAAUAUUAAAGACAAUAUUAAACAUACAUAGUAAUUUUUUUCGGACCAAAAUAAUAUCGAUUUCCGGACUGGUGGCACUAUUCACACACUGGUAAACUUACUAUUUCAGACAAAGAAAAAUGGGGCGUUACACUCAAUUUUUCGAUUUUCUGUAUAAUCACUUUAUGUUACUUUUAUAUGCUGCGCGCAAUGACGAAGUCAGGAUUAUAAUACAAAUAAUGUAUAAUAGAUGAUUUAUCAUUUAAUAAAUUAUAUACUACACUUCUCUAUUUAAAAAAUUAUACAAAUAUUAUGAGGAAUGAAAAGUUUAAUCAAUAUAAAUAACAUCUUUUUCCUCUUCAAACAAACUCAAAAUUUAUUGAAUAACAAUUUCAUAAUAAAAGGUUCUUUCGCUCCAUAAAAAAUCAUUCUUUUGAUUUCAUAGUUAAAAACAUAUUUGGAUUGUUUAUGAAAGAAAUGAUAAGAUGAAUCUUAUUUUUAUAACAAUGUAACCAAAUUUAAACAAUUUAAAUGUUAAUAAUAUACAUUAAUUUAUUUAUAUAAUACGAUAAUAACAAAUGCAGAUUGUUCAAAUAAUAACUUGUUAACAAAAAAAAGUGCAUUUAUUAGAGGGCUUAACUCGUGUAGGAAUAAUUCCUCUUAACACCCUCUAAUAAAAUCCCACAUUUUAGGAGGAACUUCCAAAUGCCAUAUCUUUCCUAAUGAUCCCCCUGUAAACGUUCCCCCCCUCUCCCUAGCCAUUUCAACGCUACAUAGUAACUCGAUCUAACCCGAUACUCUCCCCUCCUAUCAAAGUGCCAAAUCAACUUAUCUUCUAGAUUAUUCACACCCAAAGGAAUAUUAAGAAUUGUCCUAAUGUCUCUUGCACUAAAUAACUCCACAAUUUCAUCAAAAUCCCAACCUCUCCUAUCAUUCGUUAUAAGAUCACACACUCUCAUAUCAAGUUCUAAAAAAUGAAUGACAUCCUCCACAUAAAAAGUAUCACUCUUGGGAAGUCAAGGAUCCUGUGUGACCAAAAUAUUCUCACCAUUCCCCACUCUCCACGUAACCCCUAACUUUAGCAUGUCCCUGACAAACAAGAUACUCCUCCAAGUAAAACUGAGAUUAUUCCCUAGUGAUGCAGAUAGAAAUCACCAUCCGGAAAAUAUUUAGCUUUGAGCGUACAAUAAAGAAGAGUAUUGGGUUCGGAUAAUAGUCUUCACCCUUACUUACCAAGCAUAGCAAUAUUAAAGCUAUACAAAUCUCUAAAACCCAUUCCCCCAUCCUUCUUGCUUUGACACAUCCUAUCGCAAGAAUACCAAUGGAUACCUUUAUUAUUCCCCCCUUUAGAACCCCACCAAUAAGAAUUCACAAUUUUUUGAAGAUCAUCACACAACGAUAAGGGAAGUAAGAACAUACUCAUACAAUAAGAUGGACAAGCUUGUGUGACAGACUUAAGUAAAAUCUCCCUACCUACUUUAGACAAGAGCUUAUUAGUCCAACAGUUAAUUCUACUCAAUAACUUGUCCUUUGAAAAAUUACAAAUAUGUUUCUUCCUUUUACUAAUUAGAGAAGGUAACCCCAAAUAUUUCUCCUCUCCUAAAGAAUUAUGAACUUCUAGGAUAUUGGACACAGACACUUUAACCAUACAUGAAACAUUAGGAUUAAACAUGAUCCUUGACUUCCUAAAAUUAACGGCUUGACCCGAAGCACUGUCAUAUUCAUCUAAAAUCUGCUUUACUCACCUACCCUCACUGUCUGAGGCCUUAAAAAAGAAAAACAAGUCAUCUACAAAUAAUAAAUGUGCCACCCUUGGACAUCUAACUCCAGCUCGACACCCAUGGAUCCAUCCUCUCUACUCAGCCUCCUUAAACAACGGGGAUAAACCUUCAGAACAAAUAAUAAAAAGGUAUGGUGAAAUAGGAUCUCCUUGUCUAAGACCCCUCUCUGGAAUAACAGGACCAACUACUUCCCCAUUACACAAGUAAGAGUACCACACAUUAGUCACACAUGCUGUCAUCCAAUCAAUCCAUUUGGUACUAAAACCCAAUCUACCCAUCAUAUCUUGCAGGAAAUUCCAAUUGACCCUAUCAUAGGCUUUAGUUAUAUCUAUUUUAAGAGUUGCCAUACCCGUACCUCCCCACGUUUCAUACUGUGAAGAAUUUCAAAGGCCACACCAAUAUUAUCCUGUAUUACUCUACCCAGCACAAAAGUAUAUUGGCUAUUCGAAAUAGUCAAUCUGAAGCAGAGCAAAUUUAGCAUUUAGUUUAUUGAAGAAGAAAAGGAAAAAUUAUAAAUAUUAAUCACGUGUAGAAUAGUUGUUUAAUCUAUCAAAAAGGAAAAAGAAAAACUAUUAAAAUAAAAAAUAUGUAGAAAAAAAAGAAAAAAAGAAACACUAUAAAAAUGGAUUAAAAAGAAAAUUUUAAAAUUAAUGGUAUAUAAAUUGGUCUUUUAAUUAACCAACAAGAAAAGCUAUUAAAAUAAAAAAUUAUGUAAAUAAAAUUUAAAAAGAAAAAGAAAAACUAUGAAAAAGGGAAAAGGAAAAGUAUAAAAUAACAGGGAGCAAAGAAAAAAAAUUAAUAAAAUUAUAUAUAAAUGGAAAAACAAAAAGUAUAAAAAGGGGAAAAAGCAGAAAUUGGAAAACUAAAAUAAUAAAAACCAGAAAAAAGAUCACAAUAAGUAGUUUCAAACAUUGGCUGACAAUAUAAACUCACAACAUUUUAGCCACUAUACCAAACUACACUACAUUUCCUUUCUACCACUAAAUUAUUUUAUAAAACAAUCCAGGGGCAUGGCCCCCUCCUCCCCUUCUCUCCACUCCCUCUGCUAUUGGUUGGGCAUAACUAUUUUGAAACUUAUAUAUAUUAGCACCACAAAUAUAAACAAAUAUUUAAAAUAAAAGAAAAAUGAUAUAAAACACAAGACAAGCCAAGAAUACUCUCAAGGAGAUCUCAAUUAAUAAAAAUUCAUUUUUAUUAAAUCUCAUAAAAUUAAAAAAUAUAUUGAAACAAACAAAUAAAAUUACAAUCUUGAUAUAGAUAUAGAAGAGUUUGUGAUAAAAUUAGAGGGCUUAGAGAAACUAAAUCCGUUGAUGAUGCAUAGAAGCUUCGAUGAAUAUGAAUUCAUUUAGGAUCUAUGGCAAGGUCAUGAUUCAAAGAUGGAUUGGAGAAAGAGGAAGAGAUGCCAAGGUUAAAGAGAGAGAAAGUGACUGAAUAAAUUGUGGACUUCAAAAACUGGCAUUUAAUGGUUGUGGGUUAAGCUUACCAAAGAUUAAGGCCUCGUUUGGUUCAAAUUCAUCUACUUUCCGAGGAGUUCACUUCCUAGAAAAUAAAGUUUCAAAGAAGUUACUUCUUGAAAAGUACAGUGUGAAUAUGUUUUGUUGAUAUAUUGAAUUCCCAAGAAAUAAAAUUGUGUUAAUGAAAUUUUACAUAUGAAAGGACAAUAAUACUCCUACCAUGAAUUUAAAUAUAAUAAUUGAAAUAAUUCAUUGAAAGCGCAAAAUGGAGAUUGUUAAAUUCUAAAGGUCAAGAAGUGUACUUCCUUAGGUUGAGGAGAGGAAGUAACUUCCUGUACGGACAAGAAGUUGAGCAAUUCAACUUUUCGAGAAGUUCUUUAUUUUUGGAAACCAAACAUAAUCAAAUGCAUCACUUUUCAGGAAGUUUAAGUUCCUGAUGUAACACCCUAUGCGAAUCUCACAUCGGCUAAACACAAGGUGUAAAUGAAACCCAUAAGAAUGGGCAAGUUUUAAACUAGCAAGAAGCCAUAAGGCAUGAGUUGGUUCGGCCAGAGUAAAUAGUAUCUUGCAAUGUUUAAGAUGGAUGUGAGUUGGUUUUAUCUUGGCAACUUGUAAAGAGGUUUUUUUGGCUAUUGUUGGUUGUAGCUCAAGAACAAACCCGUGCGGGCCUGAGUAAGUUCGGUCCAAAGCGGACUGUAUCUUGCUAGCUCAAACUUAUUCUAAAGCCUAGUCUUAACUCCAUAUUGGAGUGUUAAAUGCUAUAAUAUCUAAGUUUUAAAAUAGGAGUGCUUGGGAUACAUAAGUGCUAUAAUACCUAAGUUUUAAAAUGAGAGUGCUCGGGAUACAUAAGUAAAAAUAGAGUGAUUUCGCGAUAAGUUAAAAAAUUGAGAGUAUUUUGAUAGGUUUGUCCAUAUUUGAAGAUAAACUCAAAGUAGUAAUGUUUCUUUGAGAUUUUAUCAAUAUACAUUUCAUCUUUCUUCACAUUUCAAAUUUAAACAUUUUUCUCUUUAUUGUGUGGUCCAUUAAUAUUAUCAUUUUAUGGAGUAGCCAAUUCCCUUAACAAGAGGGCAACUAUUAAGGAUAGGCGAAUGAUAAGUUUCAAGAUUAUCAUUUUCCCCCCUAUCAGCAUAGAGUACUGUGUUUAUAAAGAUAAAACUUGCAUACGUCUGGUGUAUAGAUGGUCUUAUAUAUCAAACCAAUCAAAAAGUAGCAUUUUAAAAAAAUAUUACCGUUAUAUAUUUUUUUCCUGUACAUGAUCGUAAAUGGUUAAAUACUCUUAUUUUGAAUUAAAAUUCUAUAUGUGAUUAAUUUGAUGUACAAGUAAAUCUAUAUACUCGAUGUAGGUAAUUCUUUUCCGUAUUUAUAAAUUACCAUUGCAACAAUAUUUAUAGAUAAGUUUUCAUAUCCAUCAAUAUACUCACCUUUAUGUCCACCGCCUGCAUUACUCGUAUGUCAAUACAUUUUUUAAAAGAGUAGGCUUUUGCGGGGCUUCCCUUGUUAUUGAUUAAAUUUCACAUGAAAAGAAAUUAAAAAUUAAUAAAUAAUCUUUAUGUCUCACAUUAUAAAUCGUUUAAUAUUUUUACACGAAAAUUAAAAAACUAUGAGUAACUUUAUUCUAUCUAAUGUAAAUAAGAGUGAUAUUAAAAAAUUAUCAUUUAUUAUUCUUUAAAAUACUUAAAACGAUUUAUAUUUUGGGAUAUAAUGAUCACUCAAAAUGAUUUAUAUUUUGAAAUGGAGAGAGUAGUUAGUACUAGAAAUCAUUUUACCAAUCAAACCAUCAGCAUCAAACCUUUUAGUGUUUUGUUAAAUCAAAUGUAGUAAGGAAAAAAAAUAAUACGAUAACUUUAUUUGGUUCAAAUACUUGCCUUUUCUUGUUACAUUAUAUUGAAUGAACUUUAAGCAGAUAUAUGAAUAAUACAGGUAUUUGGCUUUCCAAUUCGUUGCUCUUUUCCUGAAAGAAGCCAAUUCUAAUUAAGGGUUGAUGGAAAUCCAAUUUUUUUGCCAUUUUAAAAUGAAAAAAAAAAUAAAACUAAAAAUUUUACAAAAUUUACAUAUAUUUUUAAAAUUUAUAAAUUUAUAAUUUUUGUAAAAAGUACAAUUUUAAAUUGAAAUAACAAAAUGAAAUUUAGUGGUUCUCUUUCUCUCCUGCAUGAUAAAAUGAUAUUGUUUUUUUUUUUUUUUUUUAAAAAAAAAAAAGAAAGUGAAUGCUAAAUUUAAGGCGGAACACAAAUAGAUGAUUCCAAAAGACACAAACACACUACCACUAUCUUUUCCGUGACCAAUAACAGACAGUCACGUAUUCAUGUGCCAAUCAGACGUAUGUCCUAAUCCAUCUUCUUCGCCUAUUUAAAGACAAAGGUCCUCUGUGUUCUGUGUUUAAAGAUGUCCCUUCGCUAAAUCAAAAGGCCGAGAUUUCGGCUCUAUAAAACUCGGAUAUUUCGCGACAUUUCGUUUCCUACGGUGUAAUGGCAAUGGCUGGCUAUGGGCUAUUGAAGAUCGAUGAAGGAGAGCUAAAGAGCAAUCGAAGAACAUCGCGUCUCGCUUCUCUUGAUGUCUUUCGCGGCAUCUCCAUUCUUGUGAGCUUUCUUUAGCUUUUCUUGUUUUCUUUUAAUUUAUGCCACGUUUUUGAUUGGUUGCUGAGAAAAUGCCAGAAAAUGAACCGCCGCAUGAAAAUAAUUCAAUGGAAAUUAAGCCAAAAAAAAAAAAAAAAAAGCUUCAUUUUCAGGUUUUAUUUCUCUUUGGCCUCUGUUUCCAUAUUUUUGUUAAUUUUAUGUUUUUGUUUUUUCUUUUAUUUAAAUAUUUUAAACAAACAUACAAAAAAGAACAGAGUUCAUCAUAUGAAAAAAAAAAAAAAAAUCUCAUUGAGUAUAAAUUUUUUUAAAAUAAUUUAAUAAUAUUUAUAUGAUGAGAUCCACUCCACCCUAUAUGAAAAUAAUCCACAUCAAUCUGAUCUGAAUAUGAAUUACUGGGUAUAAAAAUCAUAAAAUUUGAUUUUUAUUAUUUUUUUAUAAUAUUUUUGAAUAUAUAAUUUUUUACAAUUGUAUAAUAAUUAUAAAAACUAAAACAAUAAAUAUAUCCUAAAUUAAUUUAUUAGCGCUGUCCAACCACUUUUCAAAAUAGACUGAGUGCAGGAAUGUCCAACCGAAGCUUACCUUUCGUCCAAUCAACUUGUUAGUGGAUGAGAAAAGCAAACAUACGUUGCGUGCGUGCAUUUCGUAUAAUGCGCAAUGCAUAGCAUAAUUCGUUUGCUCUUUACGCAAUCUUUCUGACGUCAAAGUAACCUUCAGUUUUUGCAAACUGUCCGAAAAAAGCAUAGAAAUGCUCAUGGAAAAAAAUAUUUAUAUAUCUCCUUUCAAAUUGAAGACUUUUAAAAAAAUUCCAUAAAAUUUUGAUAAAUACUAUGAAUUUUAAUAUUCUCAAUCUGAAACUUUUUAUAAAAAAAAGAGAGAGAAAAAUUUGAAAUGACUUUCUGCUUUUCAAAAAUAUUCUGAUGUAUAUAAAUAUUUUGUUUUAUUAUUCAAACGAUAAUCUAUAUUUAAAUACAGCAAAUGAUUUCAGUAAAUUUAAAAUUUAAUCUAUAGAAGAACAUUUAUAAAAAAGAAAAAAAAGAAAAGUACAGGUUUUCAAAUGGCCCAACUCACACAUUAAUGGACUAAAUUUGAGAAACUGCACUUUGUACUUCAUAAUUUAUUUAUAGGCCCACCAACAGACCCCCAUACUUUAAUGCACACGUACGGUCUUAAUUGUUUCUCGGAAGUUACUUCAAUUAAUGAAUCGAAUAACAAUUCAAUAAAAUAUAAAAUAAUAUUAUUAUUAUGAAUAACAAGUCAAUAAAAAUAAGACACUUGUCAAAAGUGAUAUAUAAAUAAGAUUUAAUUAAUUCAUUAUUUCCAUCUCUAUUUCAUUUUAUUUUCAGUUUGCAUUAUUAUAUAUGAUAAGUGUCUUAUUUUUUAAAAAUUGUCGUUCCAACAUAUAAUGGUGACAUGGCAUCGGUGUUUUAUUAUAUAAUCAUUCAGAUCAUCAUCCUUAAAUUAUUUGAUCAUUUCAUAAAAAUUAUUAUUUUAUUAAUCAGUAAGUAUUAAUAAAAAGGUAAAAAUAUCCCUUAUUUUUUUAAAACAAUAUCCUUUAAAAUACUAUCUAAUCAUUCAUAUUUAAUAAUGUGAUCAUAUUAAUUUAACAAUAAAGGCAUGCGUUUUGGAUUGAGUUGUGGUUGAUUUAGUGAAUUUUUAAUUUAGGAACCAACCAAAGAAAGAGUUUAAUAAUUAAGAGAAAUUUCAAUCAUUAAAUAACAGUUCUCUAAGAAAAGUAUUCAUCUUAGUUGGUUUUUAGGAGUGUCAAAAUGGGUUUGCAGAUAGAUUUCGACAUAAACUCAUCUACCAUGCGACAUGAUUAGAAUCAACAUAAACACGAUCUGUUUAAUAAUUAUGCAAAAUUUUUAAAUAUAAACACAAAAUGCAAAUUAAAUGAAUGACACGAAUAUGACAUUUAUAAUCUGUUUAAUUAAAUAGAUCAUAUAUGAAUCCAAAAAUUCAACCAAACUUAAUUAAAUGAGUCAAAUACGGGUUAGAACAUAACACGUAUGCAUAUACAAUAUACUUAAUAUAUAUAUUAUAUAUAUUUUAAAUGGAUUAUACAUAUCGUGUUAUCACUCGUAUACGAGUGACUCAUAUAUAUAUAUAUUUGAGUCACUCGUAUACGGGUGAUAACACGAUAUGUAUAAUUCACUUAAAAUAUAUAUAAAUCACUUAUAUACAGAUCAAAACAUGACAUGUAUACAUGUAUAAUUCACUUAAUAUAUAUAUUUAUCGUAUUAUAUAUAAAUCACUAGUGUAUGCACGAAUUUAUUUGGGCUCAACUUUAUCGUGAUUAAUUUCUCUGUUAGGCAAAUCUAAUUUAUGCGUGUGAUAGCUGAUUUUAACAUCUCUACUUUUUAGAUUGCUUCAAUCAAUCAAAACCACAUAAUAUUUCCGUUUGAUUUUAUCGGAAGCAGGUUGGCAAGUGGACCCACAUAAUGUGUGGUGGUGGUCCAUAUGCUCUAAACGCUGGAUGGGACUUGGCUAUAACUGGUGUUAAUUUCUUGAUAUCUUUAAAAAAGAUUCCACGAUUGUUCUUAUACCCAGUGGCAAACAACAGUUACAUUACUCCUGCUGAACCCAAAACCUUACUACACUUCGUAUCUUACUAAAACAAAUUCUCUUUUGACCGCUUUAAAACGGACAGCACGCUCAGUACACACAGUCAAAAGGGCUACCCGCCACCCAGCCCUUUCCUUCCUUCGUCUUCUUCUCUGCAAAAGAAAAAACGCCAAACUUAUAAUAAUCAAAGCUACAAUAUUAAUCUUCCCUUAUACUUAUUCUCUUUCUUUCUUGUUUCUCAUUCUUUUCUCUCUCCUUAUAAAAUGGCUGACUUAGAAGUGCCUUUGCUGCUGCUGCAAUCGCCGCUCUCCGAUAACAAGCCCACGCGUGUUGCUUCUCUCGACGUCUUUCGCGGCCUCUGCGUCUUUGUAACUCUCCCUACUUACCUUUCGCUUUCUCGUCUUCGUUCUUCAGAUUCUCGUCCGAAUUACGUUUUACGGUUUCUUCUUCCUCAAUUUUCAACGUUUUUAUUAUUAUUAUAAGCAUUAUUUUAGUGCCUGAGCUGUUUGGUUUAAAUUUUAGGACUGUUUGGUUUAAAUUUUAGGAAAGAAAAGUUAGUUUUAACAAAAUUUCUAGCGUAACUUGUUUGUCUCAGAACCGAAAAAGUUGUUUAUGUUUGUUAUCAAUUUGGUGGCUACAGCUAAUGAUGAUUGUGGAUUAUCUGGGAUCGAUUUUUCCGAUCAUUGCUCAUUCUCCAUGGAAUGGCCUUCGCUUGGCGGAUUUUGUGAUGCCUUUCUUUCUUUUCAUAGCCGGAGUUUCUCUUGCACUUGUUUAUAAGGUAAGUAUACUACUAUAAUUAUUAUUACUUCAAAAGAAAUGCAUGUUUGCUUUAAUUAGGGAUUUUUAUAUUCUAAUUCUGUUUUAUGAAUAGAAAAUUGUUGAUUUUGACAAUUCAACGCAUUUUGUUAAUUAUCACUUCUGAUUCACUUGCUAAUUUUAUUUGGUUAAUAUUGGCUUUUAAUCUGAAAGUUCUGUUUUUAUCAGAAAGUAUCAGACAGAGUAGAUGCUACAUGGAAGGCAGUACUUAAGGCAGCAAAAUUGUUUUUCUUGGGUGUUUUUCUUCAAGGUGACACUGUCAGACAAUUGAAUUAUUGUUGUGGAUUUUAUAGCAGUAUAUAUCUAUAAUACUAUCGGGACAUACAUUUAAUUAGCAUACAUUUGUUAAAUUGUUCAUUUUUUUUCAGGUGGUUAUUUUCAUGGGAUAAAUUCAUUGGCUUAUGGUGUUGACAUCGAAAGAAUACGUUGGCUUGGCAUUCUGCAGGUACUCAAAAAUUUCUUUCUCCAUGUAUUAAUAUUUCCUUCCUCAAUACCCUUAUGCCAUGUUCGGAAAAUUAACUGUUUAUCUAUCCUAAUAGCUAUACUAAAGUAAUAUUGUUUCAUAAUACAUUCACUCAAACUCUAAGGUCAUCGAAUAGUAUUUCAAUAUUUAUUAAAACGCUAAAAGCUACAUAAAAAGUUAUCGUUGAACGGCCCUUACACCACAUGUCUAAAUUUUCACGAGUACAGAUUAAGUGAUUGUCAUUAAAGUAGGAUUAAAAGUUUCCUUCUUAAUUACAUAAACCGUAGUCCAGUGUCAUUGUUCAUUUACGUUAGUCCUAUACAUUGUUAAACUUGUUUUUGUUGUCAUUCAAGCCAGAGAAUAUCUAUUGGCUACAUUGUUGCGGCUUUAUGUGAGAUUUGGCUUUCAUCUCGACCGAUAAGAGAAAUAGGUUUCUUCAAGCCUUAUUAUUGGCAUUGGUAAGGUUUUGAUAUCUUGCAUUGGCCUUUAUAUUAUUAAACUUCAAGCAUAAUUGACAUCGUAAAAGUGUUAUGUUUAACAAUUGUAAUGUGACUUCAAUUCUUGAUUCUAUUUCACGAAAUGGCUUAAGUAACAAUACUCAUUUAUUUUCCCUCUCUCACUUGGGCCUAAUAAGCAGGAUUUUUAAUAAAUAUUUGCCUGAUUAACACACCAUUAACUCAGAUCCUUGAACAUGUAAUACAUAGAUCAACAUUCAAUUGAUAUCUUAAAAUACUAAUCAGAUGGUGAGUAUGAGCUUAAUGGAUUGAAUUGCAAUUUUUUUUUUUUUUUAAUUUUUUGGCUUUCUUUUCUCAAUUUAUUGAUGAAGCAAAAUUUUCAGGGUUUUGGCAUUUUCAUUGUGUGCAAUUUAUACGGGAUUAUUACACGGUCUCUACGUUCCAGAUUGGCAAUUUGAAAUCUCCAAUUCAACUUCUUCUGUUCUUCCAAACAAUGGCAGUUAUGUUUACUUGGUGAGAGUUUACUGAAACCUUUUUCUUUUGCUAUUAUUAUUAUUUUUUUUUUUUUUAUGCCUGUGAUUGUGUGCAUGUAUGUGAGGGUGCAUAUAGAAAUUAAAUUCAUGGAGAACAGAACCACUAGAGAAUGCUUGUCAUUAUCUAAAUUUUGUUUGCUACAAUUUUGACCAUGUUAUGAGCGCCUUGAAGCAUUUAUCUCUGGAACUAGAACUUCUAAUGUAGAUUUCUACUAGAAUUCGUCACCUUUCUAUGAAGAGCAAGUUAAUUUGCCAACACCAUAUUAUUUCAUCGUCCAAAUACUCGACUAAAACAUCAUUAGAGGAGAGAUGUGUUUUUGAAGUACAUUUUACAUACGUAAGUCAAUACAGUCAUUGCGCAUGCAUUUUCUGCUAGUAUUAUCCUUUCAAAAUGAAGUUAAAAUUUUUAUUGCUUGACGUUUGAAGUCAUGAAUUUGAAUACAUUCUUCAUAUUUUUCACAGGUGAGCUGCUCUGUAAGAGGCGAUCUUGGACCUGCUUGUAAUUCAGCUGGAAUGAUCGAUCGCUAUGUUCUUGGUAUUGAUCAUCUCUAUACAAAACCCGUCUAUAGAAAUCUGAAGGUAUUCUAUAUUGAUCUUUUUAUGGUGGUCUUUAUCCAUCCAUAUGCAAUGUAUUGAUCCCUAACAAAAAUCUCAACUUAUAGGAAUGCAAUAUGACAAAUGGCCAAGUUUCAGAGAAUUCACCUUCAUGGUGUCAUGCUCCUUAUGAUCCUGAAGGUCUAAUAAGGUAGUUGAAAUGCAUAUCAAUAAGCUACUUAUUCAAUUAAGUUGAUCAAUAGAAUCAUGAAGAGGCAAGUGACCUGUUUUUUUUCUGUUGAAUGGUAGUUGGCAAACGUUUUUUGAAGUUCAACAAGCCAAGUGGAAGAUUUAGGAGAGUCAAAGUUGAGAUAUUAUCGAAUAAUAUAUAAUAUGAAUCAAACGUACAUAGACAGAUUAUCAAAAUCGAAGUCUAGAAAGUAGGAGGAUGUCAAAAGAUGAUAAUUUUCUACUAAACAUAAUUACACAUCAAUAUGAGUCGCAUACUAUUCAGUCUUAUUUUUGACAAUUAGGUAACGCGCUAAAAUUUAUUGUGCCUACAGUUCCUUGACGGCUGCAGUUACCUGCAUUAUUGGACUUCAAUUCGGCCAUGUCCUUGCUCACGUAAAGGUGAUAUCAUAUGCAUUCUUUACUCUCCCCGUGAAUUUUCUUUUCUUAUCUUUUUCACCUGUAGUUAUUUAUGGUCACUGUCGUAUAGGAGAUUUAUAAUGAUGUGCAAAAGCAUUCUGCUUUGAGCUACAUGCUACUGCUAUUUCACGUACUAUAGAACAAUCACCAUUUUGGUAAUUGCUUGUCAAGCUUAUUGACGUUACUUGUUACACAUGCUUUUCAGGACCACAAAGGGCGGGUGGAAUGUUGGUCUUUCUUCUCAUUUUCACUUCUUCUACUUGGAUCAUCCCUCGCCUUCGUAGGUAUGCUCGUCAACAGCGCAUAACUUUUGCCUUCAAUAAGUACCUAUCGACACAUUUUUGUUAUGAAGAUAGAUAACACUUGUUGCUAUAGAAAACAUUCCAUCCUCAAAAGUAAAGCAAGGUGCUCUACUAAUAAGAACAAAUUGAUCUCCCCCAAUUUGUUCAUUUUAGCAAUCAAUUUUAGGUUCUUAGUAAAUACAUAUUGAAAGCAAAUCUUUGAUCUUCCCCUUUUGUUUUGCAGGCAUCCCCGUGAAUAAAUCUCUCUAUACAAUUAGUUAUAUGCUUAUUACUUCUGCUUUGGCAGGAAUCACAUUCUCAGUUUUGUACUUGGUGGUGAGUCAAUUCUACCUACUAUUGGAAGCAAAGCAUAAUCUUUAGCAGCUUCUUAGAUUUUCCAAGAAAUAUAUACUUGUCAGAUUUGACUUAAAAAUCUAAUUUGGUUGCUCUUGCAAAGAAGCCAACUGAAGCAUAAACCACGAGACCAUGAAAACCCUACUCUAUACUUACUGAAAAUUGAAGCAAAAGAUUAUUUUCAUCUUUCUUAACUCUGAAUCAUCACAACUUAAAAUCCCUCAAACCAAAUAUACUCCUCGUUCCUACUAUUUGACAUUUUUAUCUCUUUUUCUUACUGUUUAUAUACUGCCUGCUGUAGGUAGAUGUAUAUGGUUACAGAUGGGUGUCAUUACCGUUGGAGUGGAUGGGAAGGCAUUCCUUGAGUAUCUUUGUCCUUCUAACAUCUAACUUAAUUAUUAUUGCAAUUCAAGGAUUCUACUGGUCUAAGCCUGAAAACAACAUAGUGAGUGUUUAGAAGAUCUACUGCUUUUUAUUCACUUGCUACUAAUAUGUAAAUCCAAAGACAGCUAACACCACAUUUUUUUUCUUGUUGCCUCACUUUUUUAACAGAUUCACCAGAUUGUCGCAUCCUUCGUGCACAGAUGAUACAUAUGGUCAUUGGGUCGAAUUACAUGGUUAGAGAUUUUGAAUCUUGCUUUUAAGAUAGGGUAAAACACUGAAUUCUCUAGCCAAUCUCUCUUUUCAGACCACAUUUUAUAAUAGUGUUUUGGGAAAUCAAGGACAUAUUAUUAGUACCUAGUGAAUCUUUUUACUUUUCCCCCUCUAUAUACAAAAUGAAAGUGAUAUAUAUAAAAAUGUAUAAGCUUUAGACUAGCAAGAGCCAUUGACUGAGUACGAGGGAAAGUGAUAUUUAUAAAAAUGGGUAAGCCCUUAGACCAGCAAAGAGGUCUUUUGAGGGUGAUGGAUCAUCCAUUACCCUCGAGAACAAAACUGUGCAGACUGGAUCCAAAGCGGACAAUAUCUUGCUAGGCCUAAAAUGCCAUAUAUAAUGAGUAAAAUCACUUAACUUCUAAUAAAAUGAUUAAAUAGUUGAUGUUUUCAUACUAUAGAAACUAAAUAAUUUCUUCCAAAAAUAGAAUAACUUACGGGAUAAUGGUAAUAUUUACCCCUCUACUUACCUCUACUUACGGGAUAAUGGUAAUAUUCAGGUUUACAGAUUCAAGUGGCAGGACAAAUUCAAGCUUGAGUUAAUGUUCAAAUUAACACUCUCCUGAGGCCACUAAGAGGUUCAGCGAACACAAGGUCGCGAAGCAAUCCAAAUUCCGCAAUUGUCCAGUGUUUUUGCAUGAAAUGCGGCUCUCAGCUGUCAAGGCUUGUGCCUUGUUCUUGACAAGAGUUAUAACAUGCUCUAGACAAUAUUGUAGUCUUAUUCAAUUUUAAAUCAAUCAAGGGAAGCAAUGAAACAAUUUUAUGCAAAUUAUAUUACACUUUCCAAUUUAUGACUUGGUCUGAGGCAGAUAUUGAAUCAUGCCAAUAAAAAAAAAAUUUAAAAAAAAAAAAAAAAAAAAAAAAAAAAAAAAAAAAAAUACUGCCUGCUGUAGGUAGAUGUAUAUGGUUACAGAUGGGUGUCAUUACCGUUGGAGUGGAUGGGAAGGCAUUCCUUGAGUAUCUUUGUCCUUCUAACAUCUAACUUAAUUAUUAUUGCAAUUCAAGGAUUCUACUGGUCUAAGCCUGAAAACAACAUAGUGAGUGUUUAGAAGAUCUACUGCUUUUUAUUCACUUGCUACUAAUAUGUAAAUCCAAAGACAGCUAACACCACAUUUUUUUUCUUGUUGCCUCACUUUUUUAACAGAUUCACCAGAUUGUCGCAUCCUUCGUGCACAGAUGAUACAUAUGGUCAUUGGGUCGAAUUACAUGGUUAGAGAUUUUGAAUCUUGCUUUUAAGAUAGGGUAAAACACUGAAUUCUCUAGCCAAUCUCUCUUUUCAGACCACAUUUUAUAAUAGUGUUUUGGGAAAUCAAGGACAUAUUAUUAGUACCUAGUGAAUCUUUUUACUUUUCCCCCUCUAUAUACAAAAUGAAAGUGAUAUAUAUAAAAAUGUAUAAGCUUUAGACUAGCAAGAGCCAUUGACUGAGUACGAGGGAAAGUGAUAUUUAUAAAAAUGGGUAAGCCCUUAGACCAGCAAAGAGGUCUUUUGAGGGUGAUGGAUCAUCCAUUACCCUCGAGAACAAAACUGUGCAGACUGGAUCCAAAGCGGACAAUAUCUUGCUAGGCCUAAAAUGCCAUAUAUAAUGAGUAAAAUCACUUAACUUCUAAUAAAAUGAUUAAAUAGUUGAUGUUUUCAUACUAUAGAAACUAAAUAAUUUCUUCCAAAAAUAGAAUAACUUACGGGAUAAUGGUAAUAUUUACCCCUCUACUUACCUCUACUUACGGGAUAAUGGUAAUAUUCAGGUUUACAGAUUCAAGUGGCAGGACAAAUUCAAGCUUGAGUUAAUGUUCAAAUUAACACUCUCCUGAGGCCACUAAGAGGUUCAGCGAACACAAGGUCGCGAAGCAAUCCAAAUUCCGCAAUUGUCCAGUGUUUUUGCAUGAAAUGCGGCUCUCAGCUGUCAAGGCUUGUGCCUUGUUCUUGACAAGAGUUAUAACAUGCUCUAGACAAUAUUGUAGUCUUAUUCAAUUUUAAAUCAAUCAAGGGAAGCAAUGAAACAAUUUUAUGCAAAUUAUAUUACACUUUCCAAUUUAUGACUUGGUCUGAGGCAGAUAUUGAAUCAUGCCAAUAAAAAAAAAAUUAAAAAAAAAAAAAAAAAAAAAAAAAAAAAAAAAAAAAACACUAGAAAAGCUCUAAUAUUCGAGAAUCUCAUCGUAAAGCAAUAGUAUGAUUUACACAUUCACCCAAUACUCAGGGUUGUUAAAAUUGUGAACAUAUUUAAAUAAAUAUGAAUUUGGAUUGUAAUUAUAUCUAUUUUUAAGUGUAAUCCUUAACAUAUUUUAAAAACAAGGUGAUGUAAUUUACAUAACAUACCAGGAUCAUUAAUGUUUAAUAAUAAUUUGUUUCUCUAAUCCUCAAAUAGGACAUACCUCGGAAGCACAAGCAAUGCAAGGUACCAAAGAUGUCAAAACCAACUUGAAAUCCUGUGUGGUUUCAAAUGUUCGCAAUUCAUCAAUCAACGAGCUGCUACUUCAGUUGAUAGGAACUGCUUCCUAUCAAUAAAGAUUUAUGUUUGUUUAGAACUGAAACUCUCCUUUUCAAAUAACUCUUAACGAUAGAAAAGAUACCAACUCAAAUUUUAAGUUACCUUCGUGCAAGAAUUUCUCUGUUGAUCAAAUAAUGAGAGGCCUUAUCCAACACUGGGCAGAGACUUGACUACAAGUAACAUCAAUAGCAAUCUUGCAGUUUCCAGCUACAAAUUCAACUUGAGAUAUAAAAAGAUGCAGAUGCAUUAUAUUCUCACUUCCCAGGGAGGUCACUCCACAUCUGCCUAGCAAAGCAGCUCAUCUGUGCUAGUUGCUCACGAUUGGCUUGUAAAAUGCACCAUAUGCUACAAUCACAACAAACUUCUCUGUGCGGCUUGGGAUAGAUCAUAGUAAGUUUCUGUGUGAACGCUUCAACCUAAUAUGAAGGACAAAGAAAUCAAAAUGCAAACAUUAGAAAAUAUGCUUAAAAAACAAGUGAACAAUAGAUAUGAAGAAAACUCAAAUCCCAAGUCUCCAACGAAAUGAUUUUGUGAACUCAGACUAAACUUUCUUCAUAUCUAACAACAUAUUAGAUAUGAAGAAAGUUUAGUGAGUUGUAAUUUCCUGGCACUCUAUGUGAUUCUCCAAUCCAUUGUCUCUAGUUAACUGUGUCAUUUCGAACUAAUCCACCACUUUGUAAAGCUUGUUGAUAAAGUUCAUGCAACUUAAUUGAUGUAUUGAUCAGCAUAGCCAUUAUCGUCCCAAGCAUACUAAUUCAGGUAUUUAACCAAUCCUACCAAAGAACUAACAUAAUUGAUGAGAAACCCAAUUACGAAAAUGAUUAUGCAAUAUCAUUCAUGCAAUCUUUACUAUUUCAAUAUUGAUAACCAAUAAAUAUUCCUCCAUUUAAAUUGAAAAUUAAAUUAAAUGAUAAAAUAAGGGCAAAAUCAAGGAGUUCACAUGCAGCACUUGAUGUUGAGAUCGUGUUUUGGGGAGUUUGAGCUAAAGAUUGAUAAGGACAGAGACAAGACCUACAUACCGCCGCAUAAUCAUCAACACUAGGAGGAAUCUACCCAGCUAACUGCUGCUUCUUUCUUGAUAUUAUUCCUUUCCAUUAUUACUCUUAUUUCUGAUGCAUUUUCCCAUUGUCCCAUAUCGGCAUACAUGUUGUAUAACAAGACAUAUGGAACUGAGCUAUCUGGUUCGAGUUUCAUUAAUGCUUCAGCAGCAAUACGGGCAAUCUCUGCAUUGUUAUGGACCCUAGAAGCACCCAAUAAUGCACCCCAAACAGCCUUAUCUGGCUUAAAUGGCAUGCCAUUGAUCAAAUCCAAGGCCUCUUCAAGCUGUCCAUGCCGACCCACAAUGUCAACUAGGGAAGAGAAGUGUUCAAUCCUUGGCUCGAUGCCAUAUUCACUAACCAUGGAUUUAAAUAUCCCUCGACCUUCUUCAACCAGUCCAGCAUAAGCACAGGCAUUCAGAGCAGAAAUAAAUGUUAUAUAAGUAGGCUGCACUUUGGAAAUUCUCAUUAAUUUGAAAAGUUCCAAGGCCUCUGCAGCAUAACCAUGGGAUGCAUAUCCUCCAAUCAUUGCAUUCCAAGAAAUUACUUCUUUAUGCGGUUUCAUUUCAUCAAAAAUGGUCCAUGCCUCAAUUAUUGCCCCACAUCUUGAGUACAUCGUGAUGAGGGCAUUAUUCAAUGGCACAUCUGGGAUAACUGUCUUUCUGACCAGCUGAUGAAUCUGCAUACCCAAGUGCAGAUCCACAAUUCCAGAAGAUGCACUGAGAAGCGAAGAUAAUGUGUGUCGGUCAGGUUUCUCUCCUUCAACUUGCAUCCGAAAGAAGACCUUAAUUGCUCCUUUAUAAUCCUCCUUCUUCUCAUGCCCCGCAAUCAUGGAAUUCCACGACACCAAAUUCUUCUGGGGCAUCCUCUCAAAAAACUCAUGAGCAAGUUCCAAAUUACCUACCAGGGCAUGUCCUGAUAUCAUUGAAUUCCAUGAAAAGGAAUCAGGAUUUGGCAUUUUGCAAAAGAGGUUUGACGCCUCCUCCAUAUCUGAGACAUGAACAUAUCCACUAAUGAUGGUAUUCCAUGAAAAAGUGUCUAGUACAAUCAUUUGGUCAAAGAGUUCCCUAGCAGAAACAAUAUCUCCAGCCUUCACAUAGCACAUUAUCAUGGUAUUCCAUGACACCACAUUUCUCUCAAACCUCCCUUUACUUCCUUUUUGUUUGUCAUUAUUACUUGGCAUCUUAUCAAAAAGUUUCCGAGCUUCAUCCACCCUUCCUCUUUGACCAUAUCCCGCAAUCAAAGUAUUAUAAGCAUGCACCAACUCCUCUUUCCCACUAUUAUUAUUUCCAUAGUCAAGCAAAAUUUUUGCAGCUUCCUCAAGCUUCUCAUUAUGAAUAAGACCCGAUACAAGUGCACUCAACGAUGUUGAAUCCCUCUCUGGCAUUCUCUCAAAAAACUCAAUUGCACGCGCCACAUCACCAUUUUGCAAAAAACCAGAAACUAUAGCAUUCCAAGAAACAGCAUUUGGCUUAGGCAUUGUAUUAAAAAGCUGCAGAGCCUCCUCUAUUCUCCCAUUCCUUGCAUACCCACUAAUCAUUGUGUUCCAAGAAACGCAGUCCCUCUUUGGCAUUUUAUCAAACAAGCACCUUCCCUCCUCUAUAAACCUCUUCCCACGACAUGACACAUACCCCGAAAUCAUCAAAUUCCACGACACAACAUCCCUCUUUGGCAUUUCAUCAAAAAGCUUUCUUGCUUUAGUCAUCUCACCCUGUCUCGCAUACCCACUGAUCAUUGAGUUCCAUGAGAUGGUGUUUCUUUGCUCCAUUUUAUCAAACAAUGCCCUUGCAUCAUUAAUCUGACCUGUCUGGUUGAAACGCGUGAUUUUUUUAUUCAGGGAAAACAAGUCUCUGUCGCAAUCAUUAAAUGAACUCUUUGAUUUUGGAGCCGAUGCAAAACAGCUAGCUUCUAUGCUGAUGUAUGGCUUCCGUCUAGUCUGAAGCUUCCAUUUGCAUGAUGCGCCAAGGGCAAUUCUCAACCUGAGCAUAAUUUACAGAACAAGUUUACUGAACCUCUAAGAUUCAUUCAGCAACUGAUGAAUUAAACAAUCAAACUUUUUAUCAGAAAGUUAUUCAUUUUCUUAAUAUAUUUAGUUUUGCUCAGGUCACAUCACACGCUUGUCACACUCUUAACUUCUGAAACCAACAAAAAGAAUUAGGCGGUUUCAAAAAACGGUCAUCUAAUGGAACCUGCCAUAUUUGUCAAGCUAACUAAGAGUUUUCUUCACCUGUUCAACCUAUAAAAAUUUUUAAAACAAUUAUAAUCUACUAAAAAAAUAUUUUUUUUUUUAUAAAACUAAUAAUUGGCUAUAAAUAAAGGACAAUAUAAUUACCAAACCAGAAAUUACUAAUGCCACAGCUAGAUAUGUUAUUGACUUUUGAUUUGACAAUACUAUCUUAUAUGUAAGACGAUACUAUCCUUAUAUGUAAUAUUCUAAAUUUAUCAUUUUAUACUCUUAAAACUAUUCUUAUUAACUUCAAAUCUAUUCAUCUAUUUUUAUAUCAAUUCCAUACACAAUUUUUUCAUAUAGCCGACCCCCACUAGUUUGGACCUAAGGCUUGGUGGUGGUGGUUGUUUUUCCAUAUACAAUUUUUUCAAGAGAGAAAUAUUAACUUUGACAAACAUAUAAUAGCUAAACCUAAUACUUGUUUCAUCCUAUUAAUUAAUAAUGAAAAUUCGAAAAUCAGGACAACAAAAUUUAAAUGCAGAAAUAAAUAAAUAAAUAAAUAAAAUGAAAUUCUCAAGAAUACAUAUCAAACUAAAAAAUUUAAUUGUCUUCUUUAAUAAAAUAAUAAAAAAUGAACAUUAUUUUUCCCCAUUAAAUUUAUUCUUCUAAAUCCCUGAAAAUGUUAUUUUCCAGUUAACUCUGGUACCUGUUUAUAAAAUUAAAAAACAUUUCACAUGAACUAUAUAUUUUAGCUGCUUUUAAAAAUUUCACAUGACUAUACCAAAAUUUCCCUAAUCUCAGUUCCUUUGCAACCAAAACAUUUUUCCAUUCCUAUGGUUUGUUUAUUAACUGAACUAGCCAGUAUCUUACUGGUAGAUAAUUUGAUUUGGUAUAAUUUACUCAAAAAUCAAGUUGAAAAAAAAAAGCAGAACAUAUAUCCUCUCUUAUAAAAUGCUUACCGUGAGGAAAAUGAUAAAAUUACAGUCACGCAAAGAAGGCAAUACCAAAUAUGGAUUUUCUUUCUUUUCUUGCAUGUUCCCAAACAACUAAAGUGAUCUCUAGCCAUAUUUUCUCAGCCACCAAAAAAUUAGAAAAUAUAAUUACAGAAUUCUUAAUAUGCAAUUCGCAAAGUAAAACAAAUUAAAGAAGAGCUAAAAAAUGAAAAAGAAGGAUUGCUCACAUAGAUGUUGACAGUGAACUAAGUCGCUGCAGGACUGCACCUGCCAACAUAUUGAAUGGUGGUCAAAGACCGCUUUUGCUUCCUCCCAUUUUGAUUACUGCACAAAAAAUACCGGCAUAAAGGCUGUCAAGUAAAAGAGAUUCUCUAGAUUUCUGUCUCAGAUUCUAUAUCAAACAUGAAAAUAGAAAUUUGAGGCAAACGACAAUCAAUUUAUCUAAGAAAAGAUGAGUAAACAAAAAGUUAAAGUGAAAUGUGUCCAAUAAUGAACCUGAAUUCACAAAAUCAAAAAUAAUUGUUGCCUUCUUCCCUUCUAACUCUUCAAAAUUUCAGCUCUUUCAUUCAAAAUCUUCCCAAUCUCUUGCUAAUUCUGGAUAUUCAUGGAGUCUGGAAUCAAACGGUUAACAGAGAGGGUAGUUUCAUUUUUAUUUCAUCAAAAUUUGAUGAAAUGGAACAAAACUUGGGAUUUGGUUUGGGAAAUCACAAGGAAGUGUUGAAUUGAGAAGAAAAUAUUUAGAACUUUGAGAAGAGGACUUGGGUUGGUUUUUUGCUUAGUGACAUAAACAGGUUAGGAGGAAUGUGGCCUUUUUUUCACUCUUUUUUUGAAUGAAUUUCAAUGUUUAAGAGUAAAAGGUCAUAAAAAAAUUUAAUAAUAGUUGGACUUGUGCGGAGCUCGCCCGCAUGCAAGGUCCAACUUUAAAUAAAUAAUUAGUCAUUUAUCAGCAUAUUGUGGAUGGCAACGGGUCAGGUACACAAAAAGUGUCGUAUCCCAAUCCAAACUCACUUAAAUAUAAGGUACCUGAAUCCAUUUAAAAAAUUACCCCUGCAUUACCCAUAUUCGUCCCAAAUUGAAUUAGCAUUACCCAUUUGCAAUCCGGAUUCAUAGAAACAACCGUUUAACACAAAAUGAACAAAAUGCAUACAACACACAAUACACUAAACUGUAUAAACACUUGAUUAUUAUCGAACCCUUAUAAAAUAAAGAAAAUAGCAUGCUGUUAUUUUUACCACUCCAAUUGUCAGAAAUUGUAUGUAAUUACAUAGUUUUUACAAUUCAAAGAAACUUCAAGAAUCUACUAACUUAAUUAUAUAAUGGAGAGCAAGAAUGAAUACAUUUAAACUCCAGGUCUACGAAUAUGUGGCCUGUAAGUAUUUGGUCAAUAUAGUUUCUUGAAUCCCUGGACAAAAGAGACAGCUUAUUUGAUGAAAGUAAAAAUUAUUUAACUGCUGAAAAAGAAGAAUGCAUAAUGCAAUAAUGCAAUGUAUAGAGAAUGUAUAAUACAGUGUUGAUAUAUGGUUGUUAUUAGUUGUGUUUUCCAAUGCUUAUUUGUAGCAGUUCAUAUUAGUGAAGGUCUCACUGAUUACCUAAAUAAACCAAAUGAAAUAUAGGCAAUUUGAAUUAAUUAGUAAUCUUUAUUUCCUUGUGUAUGAGCUAAUGGAAAAUUUCUACAAAGGAGAGAGGGAGAAUAUGAAGAAUCAAUGUUAGAUUGUUGUUCCAGGAUUAGAUUUCAUUCCCAUCUGAACUUUGGCAGUCUUACAAAUCAGUUUCUAAUUUUGUGAAACUUAUGAAAAUUGUUCUGCAUGCCUACUGUAUAAAGUUUAUGCAUCUUUUGUCAGUUCAACUAAAGAAAAUAACACAUGCUGAUUUUACUUUAAAUAUUAAAUAGUAGCAUUUUUACGGAAAAGCCUUACCCUACAACCUACUGAGGAUGAUUUUGAUCAGAAGAUACAUAUUUAUUGAUCAAUCGUUUAGGUUUUUCAAUGAAAUUUUUGAAAUGCAUUUAGAAUUAAAUGCUUAACAGAAUCAUUUAGAUCUUUAGAAGUUAAGGAUUUUAAUCAACUUGCUUCAAUUUCACUCAUUUAUGUAUAAUUUUCUUGGUGUCUUUGCAAUUACAGAUACCAUCCAACACUUAAGUACAAAGAAUUCUGUACACUGGGAUGAUUCUAUUGUCAUUAAACUUGUUUUGACCGGCAUUUUAAGGAACUGAUUUUUCUAAACAAGAUUUACAAUCAGCAACAAAGAUAAAAAGAAACAAAAGAAAAGAAAUAAAAACUGCAGAAACAGGACAAGACAAAACCAGCAAAAAGAACAAAAGGAAACCAAAAACCAAAAAGAACUAAAGCGGCAAAACCAAACCAAAGAAUAAAAUAAGGCCCAAAGCAGCAGUAACAGUUUAAAAAAAAAAAAAAAAAAAAAAGAAAAAAGAAAAAAAGAGCAUAAGAAACCAAUUAACUUAGUCUAUCAUAUCAACGGCUAUUUACAUUCACAAAAUCAAACCACAUACUCAAUUUACAGUAAAGUGAAGAAAACAAAAAACGAAAUUAUUGACAGAGCUUUAACUUUAACAGUAACAAAAAUACCUUGCGAUUUGCGAGCCACAGAGCUAGUCUUGAACGAGACACAGAGCUUGUCGGCGGAGAUCGCCGCUCUUGAGGCGCGCUCGUCACUCGUCGGAUAAAAGGCAACAGGCAAAUCGAAGAUGAGAGACUAAGGCAACAAGAGAAAAAAUCAGAUCGAGGCAAAACUACUGCCUCGCGAAGAACGAAUUGAACUUUGAUUUAAAAAGUUAAUUCAAAACGACGUGGUUUGGUUAAGGCAUUUUCUGUGUCAAAACUUCGUCGUUCUGGUAGUGAAGUGUUAGUUAUUUUCUUCCUUUCUUUUUCUGGCCUAAUACAGAGAGAUAAUUAAAAUUUUAUGUAAUUCAGUUAUAAAUUUAAUUUUUAUAUCUGAUAUGCAAAAACUAAAAAUUUAAAUUUUGUGAAUUUAAUUCUAUAAUAUAAUUAAAUUAAAUUUCAUAAAAAAGUGAAAUUUUAGAAUGAAUUUCAUAAAUUUAAACAAUAUAUUUUCGCAGAUAAUAGUAGAUAAGUUCUUGAUGGGCUUAAAUCUAUGUUUCUGUAUUUUACACAACCAGCAAUUGAACAGAAAAAAAAAACAUUCGACCAUAAAAUGACAAGCAUCUAUUCCAAUCAAAAUUAUUAGUGAUCCAAGUUAUCAAAUGGGCCUCAAAUAUACACAAAGCCCAAACACAACAGAUACACACUCAUCAUCCUUAUAUUUAUUCAUCAAGUGGGCCCAAGCCAGCAGGAGGCGGUUACCAAAUGUACAAAGUUAAAUAUAUAGAGUAGAUACAACAGCUGCUAGCAUCUGCUUCUUGAAUGUUUUCACUGUAUUGAACUAUUCUACAAUACAAUUUUUGUCUCCAUUAAUACACUGUUUCAGUUUUCUCUUUCUCUGGUGAAGAAUGCUUUGAUAAUCUCAUCAGUUAGCAAACCUCAAUAAUCUUUUUUGUUGUUAAAAUUUUGAUUAACAGCCUAGCCUGAUAUGGUGGUGACAAUUCUAAAUGAAAACAUAACCAAUAAUUAAAAAAAAAAAAAAAAGAAAUAAAAAUACCUAUGCUUUUAUUGUGUUUCAGCCAUUCAUUUUGUUAAGAUUUGAUGGGAGGUUUAAAUUGAUAUAAUCUUAAAUUCAUAUAUUGAAUUGAAAAAAUUACGAAAUCAAAUCGAAGAAAAAGUAAACUUUCUUUUUAUUUGAUGCAAAUUGAAUUGCUUAGCGUGACUAAUAAACUACAGGCCCAUUUUGGCCCAUUCUCCAAAUUUUGGGCCCUCAUACUGGGCCUAAACGCACUCGUACUUUUACCCAAUUCCUCUUUGGCAAAAACCCAUAACUAUAAAUUUCCAUCUAUCUCUGGUAGGAAAAAGAUAAAAUUCCAACUAGUCCAUGAGGUUCAGCCAACUGUACAGUUUCAUCCCAAUAUUUAAAAAUAAAAGGAAUUAAGGAGUCCCAAAAUUUAAUUCCAUUAAUGAAAUAAUAUUUUUAUUUCCAUAGACCUGGUUUAGGUAGGUCUAAACCUUAUUAUAAUUAAUAUUAAUUAACCAAUAGUCAAUAAAUAUUUUUUUGAAAAAUAUAAUUCAUUAACUAUAAUAUCAAACAUUACGAAUAAUCAUAUAGAUCAGACAAUGAAUUUUACUAUCAUAAGCUAAUAGAGUUCGUUGAUCUUUUAACAAGCUAAAAUAAUUAUAUAUAUUCUUUUGAAUGAUAAUACUAAAUAUAAGAAAAUAUAAUAUUAUAUCUUUCCACUUGAAGAUGAUCUUGAUAAAAGAUAUAAAUAUUCUUAUUACCAACUAGUUUUUUAAUUGAUUUGGAUAGUAAAAUAAUAAUUACUUUGGAUCUUUUAUAUCUGAAUUGUUUUUAGCUAAAUUGUUUUUUCAAGGACUUGUAAUAUAUAACAUACACAUAUGAAUUCUCGCCAACAUACAUCAAUAGUAUCAAUAGAGGAACAAGUCGCACUAUUAGACUUCGUUGAUCAAAGAUUCACAUUUACAAAUCAAUAUCAAAAGUUUCCAACCAAAUAAAAUCAAAUAUUAUACUUUUAUUUAUAAUAAACUCUCAUACAGAAGGAACAAAAAGCUCUAAAUACGGAAACAAAAUAACAAUAAUAAAAAUCAAAACAAAUAUAUUAUAUGAUAAAUAGAUAUGAAUUUAUUAAAAUGGCUAAGAGAAUUUAAAAGAGAAAAAGAGAAGAAGUUGAAUCAAAGGAAAAAAAUAGAAUGUAGGAGAUUAUCACUAAUCAACAUCAAGCGGCCACAAACUAAAUUUUUAAACAUUUUAUAAAUUUCAAUCAAUGACUUCGUUAUUUUAGGUGUCUCGUCAUGCCGAAGAGAUAAUAAAAAAUCAAAAUUCGAAAGACUCAAGAAAGAUCAUCUUUUCACCAUUCAUAUUUAAAUAUAAUAUAUAUAACGGCAGAGCUUCUUAUGGUCGAAAGGUCGCUGGGCAAUUCUAAGAAAUUUUUUUUAAAAGAAAAAUUCUUAUGAAAUAUUAUAUUUUGGUCUUUAAAAAUAUAAAAAAAUUAUAUUUUGAUACCCUAAAAGUUUUUAAAACUUCAUUUAGCUUGUUUAAAGUAAUUGUCUUAGUUCUGUGCUGAAUAUAUAUAUAUAUAUAUAUAUAUAUAUAUAUAUAUUAAAUAUUCUAUGUAUUAUCCCUAUCACAUUUGCAUUGAUAACCAGGACAAGAAGCUUGUAGCCAAAUGUUAGAGUACUGACAACUAAUUCCCACUGUGAAAUGUUUUAUUAGCCUCUGAUCAUCAAUGAUUAAGUGGCCCACUUGUUUUAAUUUGUCCAGAACUUAUGGAAUAAUUAAUCAAGUAUUAAUAAUUAUUUUUGGAAGCGAACAUUCUAGAUAUACCUUUUUUCUCUUGUUCAGCUACUGCAACAUUUUUGUUGGAGAAUCAAGAACUUAUGGCUUAAAAUAUUCGCAUAUACUAUAUUAAGUACUCCCAUCUUCAAAAUAGUUCAUUUUCUAUUUUUACACAGAUUAAAAAAAUAAUAAUUAUUAUGAGUUUUGACAAUUCUAUUCCUAUAACUUUUCUAUCAUACCAUUUUAAAUAACAUAUGAGCAAUUAUUAUAUUUAAAUAAUAAGUAAAAAUUAAUGAGGGUUAUUGAAAAUAAGAAAAAAUUUAAUAAGGGUAUAAUAGACAAUUUCAUGAUUAACUAUAAUACAAAAAAGAAAAAUAAACCAUAUUUUAGGACAAAUUAAAAAGAAAAGAUGAAAUAUUUUUUUGAGGCAGAUCUAUUAUUCUUCUCACAAUAAUGAUUUUAUAAGUACAGUUUUUUUUUUUCUUUAUACUCAAAUGAUAUGAGAAGCUAAUUUUAUAAAAAACGAAGAUUAAUUUGUCUUUGAAUUUGUUUAAUAGGAUAAAAAAUGUCAAGAUUUGAUCUUUUUAGAUCAAUUUAACAUCUAAACUUAUUUAAAAUAAUUAAAAAGAUCAGAUUUAAUAUUUUGGAUUAAUUUAGUCCCUGACUAUUCGCUGUAUUUAUAACGUGAGAAUUCUUAUAUAGACAUUUAUUAAAAUUAUAGUUGGAAUCACGUGGUAUAAUUUAUUGAAAAAUUUAAUUAAAUAUCAAAUUGAGGAAAUAAUAUAUGAAAUAUAUUAUAUCCCUCUUUAUCUUGAUCUAUCAUUUUAAAUUCAUAAAUAUGUACUAAUUUAAAUAUUUUAAAAUUGAACUUUACUACUAGAUUAUUGCAUAUGCAGUUCAUGCAUUUCUCAUGUUAAACGAAUUCAAAGUUACACUACAUAUUUUAUAAAUUUACUGUGUUAAAGAAAUAAUAUUUUCGUGAUUUUAAAAUUCUAUUCAGAAGUAUUGGAAAAGUUUGAUCUAGAUAUUCCUAUUAAAUUGAAUCAAUUUAUUAUUUUGUAAAAAUCAAAAUAAAUUUAGUGGCUGAAUUGAUUUAAAAAAAAUCAAAUCUGACUUUUAAAUCCCAUAAAUAAGUUCGUGAGCUAAAUUAGUCUUUAUUCCAUUUUAUAACCACAAAGUCGUGUUUAAAAUUUUAAACAAUAUGGUUCUUAUGUUGCCUGUAACGGUUUCGUAUGCUCUAGUAGCUUUCUCUCUUUUGUCCAAGGUUUCUUGUCCUGCCAACAUGGAGAGGGACUUUAAUCAUUUGUCAAUCGCUGAUGAUGAGGAAGAAGGCUUGCCUGUUAACGCAUCUUCAGAUGCCACCAAGUCUACCUACGAAUUUUGUCUUGUCGACAUGUUCUUGACUUGCGGGACUGUGAAUUUUUAGUCCAUGCGAAACACUUUCGCAGAUUUGUGGCAUUCGCUCGGAGGGAUUAUAAUUACUGAUUUGGGAGCCAAACGUUUUCUGUUUCGGUUCUACAACAAAGUGGAUUUGGAUAGGGUUUUGAAUGGUGCCCCAUGGACUUUUAAUCGACACUUGCUGGUAUGGGGUCUGAUAAAAAAUGAUGAGGACCCGCUGCUGAUUCCUUUGCUAUACUCGGAUUUCUGGGUUCAGGUACAUAACUUGCCGGUCGGGUUAAUGUCUGCGGCAGUGGCCAAAUCAAUAGGGAAUUUCAUUGGUACUUUCAUUGAAUAUGACAUUAAGACUGUUCAUUUUGAUCCCAAUCAAUUUAUGAGACUGCAGGUUAAGUUGGAUAUUCGUACCUUUACGUAGAGGAAAGAAGUUGAUUGAUUCUAAUGGUAAUGUUCAUUAUGUCCAAUUCCAGAAUGAAAAACUUCUUGUGUUUUGCUAUACUUGCGGUCGCUUGGGACACACCGAUUCGUUCUGUAAAUUACAAUUGCACAAGUCUAAAAAAGAACUCAAGCCAGCUUGGGAUGAUCGAAUAAGGGUGCCGAUUCGCCGGAAAAUUCAGCAAACAACCAUGGCUGCAUGAUGAUAGAAAGUUUGAUGAUACUCCAAUCCAGGCAGAUAUUUCGGGAUGUGUGGGCGGGAAAUAUGGAGUUUUGAAAUCCCAACAAUUUUGAGCUUCCUUUUAUGGCACGAUAGUUAAUUUUAAUGUUAGUACUAAUCCCAUAGGCUUUAUGGAGACUGAUACAAAUUCUUUGAAUGGGUCCAAUACUGAUGGGCUUGACGAGGAUGUGGUCUUAGAAGAUGUGGGUGAAAUGAAGAAGAGGCCCCGAUGAUCCUUUUUGGUGAGGGUAUUAAAGUGGCUAGUGAUCCUUGAGGAGGAUCCUUUUUGCUGUAGAAUCAACGUGGUAGCUCUACUGUGGAUAUUGCCGUGAAGUACCUAUCGAAUUGGAGAGAAGUGUGUCUGCCACAUGAAGCUGCUGUGACGUCCAUUUCAGUGCUUCAUUGACAUGCACAUAAAGCACCAUCCAUUCACGCUCACAAUUUUGUUUGGAUUUGCUUCAUUGAUGGAUCAGUGUUCACAACCAUGGAUUUCAUUGGCUAUGCUUAUGUUAUUGAGGACAGUGAGGGACGGUUUCAACGUGCAGUGUCAGGGUUUCAGGAAGGCAAUGGCUCGGCGGUGGUGAUGGAGGCUAUAGCUCUUCGUUCCUGCCUUUCAUAUGCUCGUGAUUUUCUAUCUUUAAAUGGGUGUAUUUUUUCAAAUUGCCAAAAUCUUAUGAAUGCUCUCAAAUCCCAUUGUUUUAGAUAAUUUUGAAUUUGGUUUGAUUGUUCUUGAUUGUAAGCGAAUUUUAGAGUCUAGACAUGAUAUUACUGUCAGGUGGAUUCAGAGACAAGCUAAUAUGGAUGCUCACACUCUUGCUAGAGCAUCUAUACAUCAUGCUCGUUUCCAAAUUUGGGAUGAUGUUCGUCUUGUUAGUUAGAUUUUUUCCAUUGAGAUAAUGCAAUAUUAUUUCAUUUAAAACAAAUUUAAAACAAUAUAUAAAUUUUAUCAAACAAAUUUAAAUUAAUAACUCUAAAAAAUUUUAAUUUUUAGAUAUUAAAUGGUGUUAUUAGAUGUAAACUAAAUUUAUAUUGUUAUUUCAAUUUAAAUGUCUAAACAAAAUUCUCAAAUUCUUUUUUUGUUAAUAUUUUUUUGGAGAAAUAUAAUUCAUUAAUAAUAAAAGUAUUACAAAUACUCAAUUAGAUCAAAUAUAAAACUUAUUAUCAUAAUUAAUAAAAAGUUCGAUGAUCCUUCAACAAUAAAAGAAUUAUCUAUAUUUUUUUGAAUAGUAAAACUAAAAUUAAAAGAAACAGUUGGAGUUUUCCGCUUGAAAAAAACUUUGAUCGAUAUAAAUCUUCAUAGUAACAACUGAUCCUUUAAUUGAUUUGGACGAUAAAAUAACUUUUUCGAACUUUAUAUGCUUGGAUUGCUUUUUCAAAAAUUUGUUGCAUAUAACAUAUGCGGAUGAGUUUAAACCACUAUGGGUUAAUAGCAUGAAUGAAGGAACAGACUGUACUAUCAGGUUCCAUUGGUUGAAGAUACACAUCAGUAAAACAAGAUCGAAAUUCUCCAAUCAAAUAAAAUCAAAUGUCAUACCUUUUAAUAAUAAAUCUUCACAAGGAACUAAACCCUCUCAAAAGAAUGGGCAAAAAAACUCCAAAUAUGGAGACAAAACAAAUCAAUAACAAAAACAACAAUAACAAAAAUAUAUCUAUUAGAAGAAAAUGGAUUUGAGUUUAUUAAAAACAAAUAAAAGAUUAGGAGCCAGAAGAAAAAAAAAAAAAGUAUGGGGCUACUACUGAUUAACAAUGGCAACCUCAAACAAAAACUAUGAUUAAAUAAAUCAGAGAGAAAAGAGGAGGAGAGAAACCCUAAAACUAUCGAUUUUUUUUUUGUUAAUAUUUAAAAUGACGGUUUUUUUUUUUUUUUUUUUUUUUUUUGCGAAUGUUAAACAAAUCCCUAAAUAGUAUAGGUAAUAAAAUAAAAAAAAAUAUGUAUCACUUUAAUAAUAAUUUCAUGUUAAAAAAUGUUGGAAAAAUAGAGCUCUUGAAUAGGAAAAUCCGGUAUCGAAUUUUUGCUCUGCUAGGGUUUAUCACUUUAACAUUUAAAAAAAAAAAAAAACUAUUUUCAAGACAGUUCAUUUUCUAUUAUUUCUUUUUAAUAUUGAAUAUUAAUUAAAUAACUUACUUUUAAAAAUAUUUUUCCUUGACUUUUUUAAACACUUUAAAUAUAGAAAAAAUUCAAAAAUAUUUUUUAAAUAAAUUAUUUUCAAGAAAAAAUCUUGGAUAAUGGAAAUUUGGAAAAUUAGAUAAAUAAUAAUAAAACCUUAUGCACAGCAAACAUUUGUUAUAUGGUGUCCCAAGAAUAGUAAAACUUGUGGCUGAAUUUUGUAUUUCUUUUUUAGAUCACUCUCUAUCACGCUCUUAACAAUUCCCAUUUGCUGAAGUGGUCCCCAUAAAAGUAUUCUUGAUUGAGAUUUGAAUACGAAUUUCAAUUAAGUAAGCUUCAAGUUACAAACAUCAUCUUCACAAAAUUUCCUUCAUUGGUGAAGCAUUUAUCAUUUGGUAAGUUUUCUCAGAUUUAACACUAUGUUUGGAAUUGGGAGAUUUUAUGAUAGGAAGAAAAUUUUGAAUGGAAAAUAAGAAAAGAAAGCUAUUUUCCUCCUGCUUAAAUGUAAAUAAAAUUUGAAAGGAAAGAAAAUAUUACCAAAAUCCUUUCUGUCCCAUAUUUUAUUAAUCUCUCCAAAUUGGCGAGAAAAUAGGAGAUAAAUGUAUAAAAGGAUAGAAGUGUAAAUUUACAACAAUACAAUUUUCUUUCCUCCAUAUUUUAGACUUUUCUAAAUAAUAUAUAUAUAUAUAUAUUUUUUAUUUUUUUUUUUCCUUUCAAUCUAAACAUAAAAUGGAAAAUAAAGAAAAAAAGAGCUCUUGUUUUACUCGGCACAUGUACAAAAUAUAAGACAUCAAUGUGUUGAACAUGCAAAUCCCAUGCAUGUAUCUGCCAUGCAGGGAUUCAUAAUUAGCUCAACUGAAAAAUUGUUAAGAUCUUUCUUCAUUGUCUUUUUGUCAUAUAAAAAAACACGAGAAAAAUAAAAUAAAACAAGAAAAGGAAGCGCAUGCACAUGCCUGUAAAUGUAUAAUAUACAUCCAUCCAAAUGGGCAAAGAUUAGAUGCCUUCUCACCAUUUUUCCGCGCAUCCAAAACCGUAAGGGGCCACUCACACUUGAUGUGCAGGAUACUUAAAUCAGUUACGCAGCCAGAAAAUUAAAAUUAGAGAUAAAAAAAUUUUCAAGAGUUAACAAGAGUGAGAUUAAAAAUUUUAUUAUUUUAAAAGGAAAAAUAAAAAAUUUUAUUAUUUUUUAUUAUUAGACUAAUUUUAAAAGGUAAAAUAAUAUAUUUUCAUAUAUUAUUAGACUAAUUUUAUUUUAAAAUUUAAUAUUAUUUCUUCUAAGUAUUUUUUUAUGAAUAGAAAUUUUAAUAGAGAAUUAGAGAUCAUCCACUGGAUUUAAAAGUUAAAAUAUAUUUAUAAAUUAUUUCAUCUAUUACACUUAAAUUAUCAACUUGUAGCUUCUUCAUACAAAAUAAGGAGAUAAUUAAUUUAUCUUAAAUCUAUAAAAUUUUCAUUUGAAAUUAUUUUAAUAUUUAUUUUAUAAAAUAUUAUUAAGAGCGAAUGAAUAGUGAGAUCCAAUAAAGAAGAGUAAAAAAUUAAAAAUGUAAUAUACUCUUUUCUAAAUUAUAUAAAAAAAUGACACUUAAAAUAGAACAAAAAAAAAUCUUAAAAGUUAAACAGAAUAUCGGAAGUAUAAAUAAUAGAUUUUAUUUUUUAUUUUUUAAAAAUCGAAUUAAUCAGAGCAAUACUAACAAAAUAAUAUUGUAAAGUUACUUAGGACAUCCCUUCCUCUUAUCUCUCCGUGUGGUCGCUUUCAUUGGCUUCAUAAUCAUACACAUAUUCAUGGCCCACUUACGAAGCCAUCUCACAACCACAAAAUAUAAUUUUCAAAAGAAAAAUGACCGUUCGGACAGCUUGUUAAGUUUUUCCACACUUCUUCCUCACUUUCCCACUCUCUAUAACGGCUACAAUAGAAGGCUCUGGAACAAUCUACCUGUUUUAAGACGGCGGGACACGUGUAACCAAUCACAUGGGCUGCUUUUGCUCGAAAAUGGAGAAGAAUAAGCUGUAGUGUUACUCUUAGAUGUGAAUUAUUUGCUUCAAAUGAUGCUUUAGUUGUUUCUAGUGAAAAUAGAGCAAUAGUAAUUUUUUUUUUUUACCAUUUAAUAUGAUGUACAAUGAAUUUUUUACACUAUGUACUAUUAUGCAGCAGUUACAACAUUUUAAAGUCCAUCAAAUAGUAUAAUCCAUUAGAAAAUCCAAUAAAUUUCUCAUUGCUCUUUUGAAUAAUAUUUACUAUAUUUGUGCAUAUUAAUUAUUAAAAAAAAUUUAUUUACACCCGGUGUUUGGAUCUAUUUAUACAUCAAAUCAAUCACAAAUAAUAUUUUGAUUUAAUCAAAUGUAUUUCUAAUCAUAUAUUAAAAAAAGAUAAAAUAAUAAUUUUUUUGAUUGGUUUACUGAAUGAGACUACCCAUAUACUAAGUGUUGAUAAAAAUUUCCUUAAUUAUUAUAGAAAAGUUAGAAAUAAUUCAAUCGCUUUUCCUUAACUUACUUUUUUGCACUUAAUGUAAUAAAAAAAACUUCAAAACUUUAAUAAUGUAAAAUGAUUCUUACUAAAUUGUAUAGUUAAGUCUAAUAGGAUUGUUGAGACUUUGGUUCUUAAUUUAUGAAAUUUCAAUUUUUAUCCUAAAAAAAAAAAAACAAAGUAACAGGAAAGCUCAUAUAAAUGAACAUGCAAGAGAAAAAAAAAUCAUUUUUUAACUAAAGUAAAUUAUUGCAUACUUCCCUCCUAGAUUACUCUGAAAAAUAAAAAAUAAAAUACACAAAAUUAAAAAUAUACGAGCUUUGUUAACAGAUACAUAUUACGUACAUUUACGAUUACAUUCUUAGCAUAAUAUCAAAAUUUUCAAAAACAUUACAGUUCUUUUAUUCUAUUUACAUUGUAAGUAUCUCUCUACACAGAUUAUGCCAAAAAUACUUUUUGAAUAUCAGUUAAUCAGAUUUAAAAUAGAAUCAGGUGCAGGUGAUAUUACUUAAAAAAAUAAUAUUUCACUGUGCCACGGCAUAUAAGAUAAAAGUGUAAUCGGCAUAUAAGAAGGCACAAAAUCAAGAGAGUUGACAUGAAUGGACUGCUGUUGGGAGUGUGAGUUGGACGGAUUUGAAAUAAAGAUAAGAGGAAAGGCAUAGGUGGGACCUGUUUACUGUGCCACAGCAUGAACCGUGAUGUUUUUUGCCAGCUGGUGGACACGUGAUUCUUGAUUAGUUCAAUUACUGCAUUUGAUCAAACAUGGCCCCACUCUUUGAAUAUUUAAUUUAAGAAAAAAACCCAACCAGAACACCUCAUAUUUCCUGACUGAAAUGCUUGCUUGCUGCGGGCUACUACAAUAUAUAAGAUAUAUCUAUACUGAAACCCUUUAUCUUUAAUUGGCAUUAUUAAAAGAUUUUGUAACCUUACACCGUGGAAAUACUGGAAAUGACAAUUUUAACUCAUUUAAAUGUAAAAGUUAAUUAACAAAUUUAUUUUGGAUAAUUUAUACAAAAUAUGAAUAAAUAUUGUAUUUCUAAAAUAUAAGUCGUUUAAAGUAUUGCAUGCGAUUAAUGAAUCAAUUAAUUUCGCUAAAAAUUAUAUCACUCCGUCUCAAAAUUUAAGUUGUCUAAGGUGAUAAUUUUAUCACAAAAUAUAAGUCAUUUUGAAUAUUUUAAGAAAUUACAAAUGAUUUUUUUUCUUUCAACUGUAUCCUUAUUUAUAUUAGAUAUAAUACAACGAUGUGAGAUAAAAGUAACAAUGAGAGAUAAAUGAUAAUUUGUUCAAAUUACUCUUGAUUUUGUUAGAAAUUUAGAAAAAUUAAUUGCAUUUUUAAUUCUCGUAUAAAAAUCUUAAACGACUUAUAUUUUGGACAAAUAGAGUAAUAAACUCAACAAUAAUUUGAUUUAUGAGAAUUAAUUUAAACGAUCAAAUUAUCCUUAAUCUCAAAAUCAAGUUAUUGUAUUAUGAAUAAAGUUAAAAUUGGAAAAAAGAUUAUUUGUUAAAUAUGUUUUGAAAUCAAAUAGUUUUAUGAGUUAAAAAGAUUAGAAAUAAUCAUUUUUUAAAUUCAUUUGGUGUUAAAUUGGGAUGAUAAAUUAUCAAAAAAAAAAAAAAAAUAUAUAUAUAUAUAUAUAUUUGACAAACAGAUUGAAAGCUAGUUCUUUUGAAAGUUUACUGAGAACACAAAUUACAAGCUCAUAGUAGUUAGUAGCUUGAUUAAGGAAACCCAUGAAGGACAAAAUGACAGUGGCAAAUGCCUUUGAGACCAAAAGGCUUCAGCUUCAAUUUUUUAUAACGUAACAUUUAAUAUCUUUCUCUUUAUGAUUUUUAAAUUAUUGUAAUUGCUAUCAACAGUAUAAAGUAUAGAAAAUUCAUUAUAUAUAAUAUUGAAUAAAAAAAAAAAAAGGGUGAGAAAUGUCAUUAUUUAUAGAAUUAAUUCACACAAACAUAAAUGCGAAGCUUCAUUCUACCUUUUAGGUGCUACCAUUCACUGAAGGGGAACGCACGCAUCAUUGAAGCUCAACGCCUGUCUUUUGCACUUUUCAAACUGAAUCAUUUCAUUCGUGAAAUAAAUUGAUGGAUAAAGGGCAAUUGCCAAACAAUAUUAACGGCAAAAACAAACGAGUCUUUUUUUUUUUUCUUUUUCUUUUCUUUUCAUUAGAAUAUUUAAAGUAUUGGUUAGAGGUAUAAUUAUAAAAUAUAAUUGAUCUCAUAAUUAAUCUUUUCCUUUUCUUAAUAAUAAUCAUUAUAGUCUUGCUUUUGGUGUUAUAGUUGUUUUUUUUUUUUAAUAAUAAAAAAAUAAUGUAUUAUGUCAAUCGAAUGUGAUCUGAUUGGUAUUUCCAUUCACCUUGAGAAGUUUCAAAUUUUAGAUAGUUAACUAUCAGAGUUAUCGUCAAUUUUGCUUAUAAAACAACAAGAGAGCUACCUAUAUUAUGCAGCCCACAAAAAUUCUUUAUAAUAAAUUAAAAAAAUAUUAUUUUAUUAAAAUUGAUAUAUUAUAUUUGUUAUUUAAUAGUUUGAACUAGAAAAAUAAGCUACUAAAAUUCACACAGAUUUUCUUAAAUAUAAAUUUUUACUAUGAAAAAUAGAAAUCAAAGUCAGAAAACAGAAAUGAUACAAAAUAGACACGUAAUCAUAUUUGAUGAGCAUUUCUCAUAAUACACGUUAGCUUGUUUAGCUUGUUUCGUGUAAAUUGAUGAUCCCAUUCUGUUUCGACAUAAAUGGUAUCAUUGGUUAUUAUAAACAAUUUCAAAAAUUUUUGAGCUACCACCAUAAAUACAACUUGUAUGAUUUCAAUUUUCAAAUUUAAAAGUUAUCUAAUAUCUACUUUAUCAAUGGACCUACACCUUUCCAAAUUUCUUGUUAAUCUUAUGCAUUAGAAAAUUUAGCCAAAUAAAAUUGAUAUUAUAUAUCAAUUUUAUUUAUUUUUCAAUUUAAAAUCACAAGUUUAAUUAUCGGAAAAUGCAUAUACUAUGAAGAAAAAAUUUUUAUAAUCAACUAUCCAAAAGAGAUUAGUUUACACCAAUAUAGUAGAAGAAAAAUAGUGGAAGAACACGUGACGAUUCUAAUAUGAUAUACAUAAACUAAAAAUAUUUUAAAGGAGUCUUCACUUAUAAUUUUGUUUUCAAAAUUUAAUACUUGUAAUUUGUUUUAACCAACUAUUUACUAUUUUUAAUUGAUUUUGUAAACUCAAAACUCCAUUUAUUUUUCAAAAAAUAAUUUAUUUUUAAAAAAUAUUUUUAAAAGCAAAACAUACUUGAAAAUUUGAAAUAACACAUUUUCUAUUGUUUGGUUACAAUAUUGAAAAAUUGUUAAAAAAUAUUAAAGCUUUUAUAAGAUCGAAAAAAUUUAUAAUUAUAAAAAGUUUCACAUUUUAAAAUUUUAUUAUUUAAUACAACAUAAAUAUUUAUUACGUGCUUGAUUGUAAUUUGUAUCUAAGACUUAAUCAUAUUUUAUGGACCAAAGAUAUAUUUUGUAUAGAAUCCAGAUAGAAAUAAGAGAUUAUAUUCCUAAAUCCUUCGCUAACUCUCAAUGAACUAGCAAUCACUCCAAAAUACUUAUUGAAUUGGUAUUUCAAAUAUUUAUCUAAUAAAGAUUCCACCUACAACUCUAAUGAAAAUUCUUUACCUCUGUAUAAAAGAGGGAUCAAACUCCCUACUCACACUAUUUAGGCAAUGUAAUACCAAUAUAUUUCAUUCAAUUAUAAGUAUUUAUUAUUUAUUUACUGACUUAAACAUAAAAGUGAUUGCAGGCCUAGAUGAGACCUUUAUUAUUCGUUUAUGUCUUGCAGAUUUCUACGGACCUCUCUUUAUUUUUCCUUGUUCAUUUAUGUCUUACAGAUUUUUACAUAGGCGCUAUGGAUAGAUUUUUCUAAGUCUAUCAUUAUUAAAUAUGAGAAACAAUAUUAUAAAAAAAGAUAAAUUACGAUAUCUAUCGAUGACCGUGGUCGUGAAAAUAAUGAUUAAUUAAUAAUAAAUAUGUAUUUAUAAGUUUAUAAUAAAUUUAUCAGUAUCUGAAAAAUAUUUUUCUCUUUUAGAAAAAGAAAGUUAUAAAAAUGAUUUAGUUCUCUCUUUCUUAAGGAAAAUAUCAUCUGUUGCUAAUUUUCUUGAACACUUCAAACAUUAAAAAAAAAUCUAAAAAAUAUUAUUCAGACAAGUUAUUUCUCGAAAUUAAUGGAAUCUCAAUAUUAAUUUAUUAUUAUUUUUUCCAUUGAGAAAAAAAUAUAUUAGAUUUAUUCCACUAUUGAGAAUAAAGGAAAUCAUUUAAAAUAAGAAAGCUCAAAAAGUUAUAGCCGUAAUACUAAUAGCAUUAUUUCAAAUUUGUUUGACAUGAUGUAAUCAACCGAAAUGAUAAUUACAUUAUAUGAGUAAUUACAUUAUUUGAUUAGACUUUUUUUAAUAGCGUAGUAUAAUUGAGACUACGUGUAUAAUCUUCAUCACUUAAAUUGAUGUAAUACUCAUUACAUGAAAAAACACACAUAUUGUCUAUUACAUCAAGUAAAUGGAAUACCGAUUAUAUUAAGUCAUCCCAAUCAAAACUCUACCAUUCUAGAUUAUUUAGGCUGUGUUGGGUAAUAAAGUUUUGAGUGGCUUUUAAAGUUUUGACUGGUCAAAACGUUACUUAAAAAGUUGUUUGGUAACAUAGCGUUUGGACUAGCUUUUAGAGAUUAGAAUAACGUUUUGUGAAAAGUUAACUCACGUAACGUUUAGCUUUUAGCGUUUCAUGAAAAACUACUCAAACAGCUAACAACUAAACACUAUUAAAAUAGCAAAUAGCUACCAAAAUAGCUAAUUUUGCCGAACAUAUCCUUAAUACUACCACUUCACCACCACAACCACUAUCACCGCUUCACCACCACAGCACCACCUUAACACCCACCACAACCACUGCCACAAUUACUACUCCACCACCACCACCACCACUACUGUUCCAUCACUACUUCAACCACCAUUACCGCUCUGCAACGACAACCAUCACCAUUGUUCUACCAUCACCACUACUACCACCAUCACUGCUCCAUCACUAUCACCUCAACUACCACCACCGCUGCUGCUGCCUCAACUCCUACCAUCAUCGCUCCACCACCACUAUCACCACCAUCGCUUUACCACCACCACCAUGUGGUGGUGAUAUGAUUAGUGGUGAUGGUGUGCUAAUUAUAUUACAUAUUUACAAAAAAAAAAAAAAAGAACGAUGAUUAUAUUCCUAAAUUUUCUUGAUAAUAUUAUCAAACAUAGUAAUGAAAUCUUAAUUAAAUUACGUUUUUCAUCACAUUACUUCUUUAAUUACAUUAUAUUGCCUUACAUCAAACCAGACAUAGCGUUAGCAUGUAUAUCCUCAUACACAUCAAAACUUGACUCUAAUAUCUAUGAGAAAAAUGCACAGUUAAGCCCUUAAAUUUAAUCAGUUUUUCCAUUAAACUUUUAUUUAUGAAUAUUAAGUUUUUAAACUUUUAUUUUUUUUAAAAAAAUUAAACUCUAUUUAACCGAGAUUUAAACUUUUAUUUUUUUAAAUUAAACUCUUAUUUAAUUAUGAGUUAAACAAUUAUAAUCCCAUAUGUUAUACGCGGUUGAUGGGAAAACUUAAUCGAAUUGUUAAAUCUCUUAAACUUUUAUUUUUUGAAAAUUAAGUUUUUAAAUUUGUACUUUUGUUAAAGUGAGUAUUUAAAUUAUUUCCAUUAUCAGUGAUUUGAAUUUAUUAUUUACUCACUAUCGAUUUAGAACUUAAUUUUAACUUAAAUAAAAAUUGAAGGAUUCAAUAUUGAUAAAUGAAAUUGCAGGAGCUUAGUAGACAAAACUUGAAAAAUAAGAGGCUUAAGUACAUCUUUUACCAAAUAUAAUCAAGAGUUAAUUUACACUCACACAUAGGUGAGGAUAGGAUUAGGAUAGAAGUGUGGUAAGUGCCCGCGAACUUUGAGUUAUCCAUAUCUAUAUCUGUUUAGAGCUUUAAAAUCAAUUGUAUCUAUGUUAAAUCCGUUUAAAUACCUAUAUCAAAAUCUGUUUAAAAUUUUACUGUCCGAUCCAUUCAAAAUCUAUUUUAAAUACUUGUAUUUGAUGUUCAUAAAAUUUAAACCAUUUAAACACGAACUUAUUUAAAAAAGUAUCUUCCAUUGAUAAUGGAUAAAGUAUCAAGGAUACUCACAGUAAAACUCAUUUAAUAUAAUGGAUAACAAGUAACGAAUAUUCAAACUCAUUUAGUAAAACUCCUGAAUUCAAACGACAGGAUUUGCAAGUGAAGAGAGAUGGAACCUAAAACGGUUGGCUAUGUACUCAAUGUAGAUUCACUAACAAAGUACAACAAAUGCAAAUACCAAGUAAAAAGGAACAAAUGGUUAAGAAUUCAGACAAAGUCCUAACUUCAAAGUUCAAAGUUCAAACCAUAAAAUCAUUUCAGUAAGGAGAAAUCAAACUAAAACUUUUGAAUGUUAAAAUUUCAACUUUAACCACAGAACCAAAACCCUGUUAGCUAUGUACUAACACAAAGUGCAAGAAACACCGAGUACGAACUCAAGCACAGUAAGAUUGAGCUGGAUUGCCCAUAACCCAAAAACACUAGAAUGUGUCUGGUGUGGAGGGGUCCAGAAGCCAACUUAAAUAGAAGCAGAGGGACAACACUGGAAAUUAUGAUUUAAAAAAAAAAAAAAAAAAAAAACUAAAAAGCAAAGAGAGAAACAGACAAGAAAUAACCGUUGUAGGGGUGGCUUUUUGGGUUGGAUGCCAGGCUGACGCUUGAGCCCCCCUCAGAUGAUUCAGCUCACAUGGUCUAUCUGUACACUCUGGGUCCCACCCUCCACUUUCUCUCUCUACUACCCUCUUUGGAUUAGUUGUCAAAUGAUCCUUUUAUGUUAUCAUAUUACACACUUUCAUCCUAUCUAUUUCAAAGUUACUAACUUUAGUUAAUGAGAUUUAAUCUGCCAAAUGCAUAAAUUAAUAUCUAAAUUUUAUAAGAAGAGUCUAGUAGCACCUUUAAACGUUGAAAACUUCUUUUCGUAAAAUUAUAGCUAGUAAAUGCCUUAAUUUAAAAAACCGUAUUUAUUAAAUACUUAAACGUAUAUAAUUAUGUUUAUUAAAUAUUUAUCGGAUGAUUUAAAAUAUAAAAAUUUUAUUAUUUAAUAAAUUAUAUUAAAAGUUAUAUAAAAUGUUACACUUAUUGAAUAUAUUAUUUAGUAAUUGUUGUAAAAUUAAAAACCCUGUUUUUUUUUUUUUCAAAUUAAGUUGAUACUUAGUCUCAACUGUGCUUUUAUCCAUAAUUUUAAAUAAUUUAUUUGUAGAAACCCUAAAAACCAUAUAUUUUUCGUUGACAUAUCAUAAAAAUUAAAAUUAUUAAUUUCAAACUGUUUAAAUACUGGUAAAAUGUAAAAUAAUGCAAAUGGUGACAGUUUUUGCAACCAACUUUUUUUCUUGGAAAUUCUCUGUAUUACAAUCGUCUUUUAUAAUAUUUUUAUUAAUAUUAUUUUGUUCCAAACAUGCCCUUGUCUUAUCCAAAUAAUGCCCCGUACUCUCCUGCCCUUCUCUCUAUUCUUAUAAGGGCAGUGGCCUGUGGAUCAAAGACCACAGUCCCAAGAGAGAAGAGAAAGACAAAGCAAUUAAGCUCACAAGAGAGAAGCUCUUCUAUUUUCUAGAGUAAGAAAGAAGAAAGAAGACGAUGGCCAAGGAAGUAAGUGAAGAAACGCAAACUACCCAUGCAAAGGAUUAUGUUGAUCCACCACCUGCGCCACUGAUCGACAUGGCUGAAAUCAAGCUCUGGUCUUUCUACAGAGCUUUAAUAGCUGAGUUCAUAGCCACUCUCCUUUUCCUUUACAUAACUGUAGCCACUGUAAUUGGCUACAAGAAACAAACUGAUCCAUGUGGUGGAGUUGGUCUUUUGGGCAUUGCAUGGGCCUUUGGUGGCAUGAUCUUUAUCCUUGUUUACUGCACUGCCGGUAUAUCUGGUAAGUAAAAAAAAAAGGAACUAUUUCUCUAAGUUACUAGUACCCAAAUGGGUAUUUAUUAAGUUUUAGGUUUCUGUGAAGUUUCUUUGUGGAUUUGGUCAUUCAACUUGAAAAAUAACAAAACCCAUUUGUUUUCAAGACCUGUUUAAUAAUGGGUUUUCCUUAUUUUGGUUACAGGUGGUCAUAUUAACCCAGCAGUGACCUUUGGGCUGUUUUUAGCAAGAAAGGUGUCACUAAUUCGAGCCUUGGCUUACAUGGUGGCUCAGUGUUUAGGUGCCAUCUGUGGUGUAGGGUUGGUCAAAGCUUUUAUGAAGAAUCCAUAUAAUCAUCUUGGUGGUGGUGCUAACUCUGUAAAUACCGGCUAUAGCAAAGGAACUGCUUUGGGUGCUGAGAUCAUCGGCACUUUUGUUCUAGUCUACACUGUUUUCUCUGCAACUGACCCCAAGAGAAGUGCACGUGACUCACACGUUCCUGUAUGUUAUCAACCAUAGCCUAGUAUAGCUCUCCUCUUUCAUGUCAAAGAGUUCAAAUCUAAACUUUGUUUUGGUUAUGUUUGGUUGCAGAUUUUGGCUCCACUUCCAAUUGGGUUUGCAGUUUUUAUGGUUCACUUGGCUACCAUACCCAUUACUGGUACUGGUAUUAACCCAGCGAGGAGCUUCGGUGCUGCUGUUAUUUACAACAAUGAUAAAGUCUGGGAUGAUCAUGUAAGCCUCUUGAUAGUCAACCAGAAACUUAUUUUUCUUGAUUUUAUGGUUGUUUUGAAGUUGGUGCUUUUUAACAUAAAACAUCAGAAGUAGGUUAAUUUUCAAGAAUAUGUUUAUCUUCUUGAUAAAAUAAUUUAAUUUCCUUUUUAAUUAUUUUUUGGAUGGGCAGUGGAUUUUCUGGGUUGGACCGUUUGUUGGAGCAAUUGCAGCAGCUGCAUACCAUCAAUACAUACUGAGAGCAGCAGCUAUCAAAGCUUUGGGAUCUUUCCGCAGCAACCCCACCAACUAAAAUGAAAGAAAGAACGAAAGAAAGAAAAACAAGAAAAAAAAAAAAAACCAAAGGCUUUGUGUAGCUAUCUUUAGUCUCUAGUCUUUCUUUUUCUCUAUUUGUUUGUUUGUUGUGUGUAAUGAGAGGAUUAUGAUGAUGACCCUUCUUUCUUCUUUCUUUUUUUACUUCAUUUUUUCUUUUCUUAUUGUUCUUUUGUAUCAUUGUUAAUGAGUAGUGCUGUUCUUUUUUCUUUCUUUUGAUCAUAUUUAAUUGCUUUGUGCAGUGUAGAACGUUCUCUCUCAACACUCUUUUAAUAAUUAGCCACUAAAUAAACUACCAGCUAACUAAAUUUUUAUCCUCUCGACCUUCAUUACAGCGGUGCUAGUGAAUUUGUGAGUAGCGGUUAGGCCAUCUUCGGGAACAGUUUUUUCAUAUGGC